ACAAAAAUAAAAUUAAACCAUUAAUGGUAUUGCAUUUGCAUCCAAGUUCAAUGUUAAGGGCAAAUUCCAAACAUCGUAUAUCACAAUCAGAUAAAUUCAGUUUUGAUGAAAACUGAGGACCCAAAACAACGUUCAUGCUAGAAGCCAUCUAAUGAUGUAAAGUCAUGCCACAAGAUAAAUGUUCAAAUAAGCUAAGGGUAUGUUUGGGAUUGCUAUAGAAUCUGAAGCAAUCAUUUUCCCAUUGGAUUUUGAAAUAAUCAGCUUUGGAAAUAAUUUUCAAAAUGUUUGGUAAAUUUAGAUUAUGAUACAAUCGUUUCUAAAAUAAUUUGUUAAACGUGUUUGAUAAAUCAAUAUUAAAAUUAGAAUGUUUAUAUACAAUGACUAAAAUAUACAAAUCUUGUUAUAUCAUCAAACGAUAUAGAAUCUUUGGUUUUAAUUAAAAUUUUAAAUGUAUUCAUUAAUUACUUAUUAAAAAUAUAUAAUCAAUUUAUCUUUCCAUAAAUAAACUAAUUCAAUAAGUAAAUAUUUGUAUGAAAUAUUAAAAAAAAAAAUUAGAGUUUCCAUUGCCAGCGCCGGUGCCGUCGCUGACGUUCAAAAACAUUUAACGGAAAUUGAUUAAACAGGCACCACCAAUCACAAAUUUCAUACUCUACUCAAUGGUAGAAUUUUCCCCAGUAUCGGAGGUGCAGUGACAGAGAACGCACCACCCUAACUACACGGCCACCAUUAACUUGGCUUUGAAACCACCAUAGUCAUAGUCAAAUGUUGUCGAUCUGUUCAAUGCCAGCGGUGGUGCACCCUAAUUCCUUGUAAUUUGGUGACGGCGUAGUGGUGGCUGGAGUAAUUUCUUAAGCGCGUGCACGGCCAUAAUAUCUCCUAAGAAGUUUGUUUGAUGAAUGCCAGUGAUGACGCCGAACAUCACCAGUAUUUUUUAUUUUAUUUUGUUUUGUUAAAUUUGAAAAUGAUUAGAAAUAAAAAUAAUUAGUUAUAUUAUUUUCAAUUUCCAGACAAUUUUGAAAAUAUAUAAUUAAAGUAAGAUAAUUUAGGUAUGAAAUAUUACAAAAUCAGAUUCCUAAAAAUUUAGACUUUUAGAGGCUACUUUCAUAAGCUUUCAUAAUCUAAUUAUUUGAUAAUUAGAUUUUCAAACAAUUCAUUUUUGAAAGUGUUUAUCAAACACUUUUUAGAUGUUAAAGUGUUCGAUUAUUUGACAACCUAAAGCAAUCUCAAACAUGCUCUAAAUGAACAAGGAAGCUAAACGUACAAACUACAUUUUCCAAGCUGAAGAAGACAGUCAUGAGCAAUUCUCCAAUUUGAUCAAUAAAACAAGCUACAACAUUGCUUUGGAGGGCUCAGAUCCUUGUACAGUUAUUUUCUAGCUACUCAUUGCAUUCAUUUCAAAAGGGCACGAUGGUUGCAACCAUUUGUUCCUAAUAAAAAAUCAGCAAACAGCAGAAUACAUGCCAAAACACUACUAAAGACCAAAAGUAAUUAUCAAAGCAUUUUUACAGCCUAAAUUACUACUCGCAAGAGUUUCCCAUAGUUGAUUGCUAAAACUAAAUAAUGUCUUUAUAAUGAUCCAGAAUUUGCCAAAACGCAACGUACUGACUUAAAACAAUAGAUUGCAGAUGCCAACAAUUCAAGUAAAUUUAAGUCCUUCAUGAAUAACGGUAGUGUACUAACUGAGAGUUUUUACCUUGGUUUAGAAAUUAUUUUCAAUUUCCAGAUAAUUUUGAAAAUAUAUAAUUAAAGUAAGAUAAUAAUUAGUUAUAUUAUUUUCAAUUUCCAGAUAAUUUUGAAAAUAUAUAAUUAAAGUAAGAUAAUUUAGGUAUGAAAUAUUACAAAAUCAGAUUCCUAAAAAUUUAGACUUUUAGAAGCAACUUUCAUAAGCUUUUAGAAGCAACUUUCAUAAGCUUGUAGAAGCUACUUUCAUAAGCUUUCAUAAUCUAAUUAUUUGAUAAUUAGAUUUUCAAAAAAUUAAUUUUUUAAAGUGUUUAUCAAACACUUUUUGGAUGUUAAAGUGUUCGAUUAUUUGACAACCUAAAGCAAUCUCAAACAUGCUCUAAAUGAACAAGCCAGCUAAAGGUACAAACUACAUUUUCUAAGCUGAAGAAGACGGUCAUGAGCAAUUCUCCAAUUUGAUCAAUAAAACAAGCUACAGCAUUGCUUUGGAGGGCUCAGAUCCUCGUACAGUUAGUUUCUAGCUAUUCAUUGCAUUCAUUUCAAAAGGGCACGAUGGUUGCAACCGUUUGUUCCUAAUAAAAUAUCAGCAAACAGCAGAAUACAUGCCAAGACACUACUAAAGACUAAAAGUAAUUAUCGAAGCAUUUUUACAGCCUAAAUUACUACUCGCAAGAGUUUCCCAUAGUUGAUUGCUAAAACUAAAUAAUGUCUUUAUAAUGAUCCACGAUUUACCAAAACGCAACGUACUGACUUAAAACAAUUGAUUGCAGAUGUCAACAAUUCAAGUAAAUUUAAGUCCUUCAUGAAUAACAGUAGUGUACCAACUGAGAGUUUUUACCUUGGUUUGGAAAUCGACUUGAUUAGAAGCAGCCUUGUAGACGUUGUCCACAACCUGUUUGAAAGUAUUCUUGAGAGAAAGUGACUUAUCAAUCCAAACACCAUUGGCCACGGACAAGCGGGGCCCGCCGCUAGGACUUCCGUCGGCAAAAACGACGGCGACGAGUUCGGAGGCGAAGGUGUUAAGUUGGUCGUCGGAUUUGGACUUGAGAAAAGAGAGCAACUGGUCGAGAGUGGGGCCCUUGGAUCCAGCCGAGAUCAGGCUCAGCAGAACGUGGAUCGAUGACGGCGAGAAGACGAGGUUCGAGUCUUUAGCUUCGGUUAGGGCAACGUGCUUUGUUAGAGACAAAGCGACGUCGGUUUGGUUGCUGAUUGAUUCGCGUACGUCCAUGCUCUGCAAACUACUCUCUCUGGAAACGAUGAAGAAACGGACUGACAAGUUUUAGAUAAUUAACUAAAAUGCAGAAACGGAGUCAAAUAACGCGAUCGUAAGACGACGUCUGAUUUUUGGUGACGUGGAUUUCAAAAGGCCGGUUCCCGCGGAUGAGAGACUACACGUCUACACGUAUUCUGUUGGCUUCUCUCUCAUCUCCGUGUCCAAAGAGUUUGCGUAGUAACUAAGCUUACUACGGUGGGCCUUGUUGGUUAAGGGCUUGAUGGCUGGCGAAUGCUUUGGGCUUUUCUUUUUAACUCAAAGAACAACCCCCUUUGUGUGCAAAACUAAUGAAGCUCCGUAUUUAAUCUAAUCAAGCCCCAUUGCUAAUAAGACUGGUGCCAUUGGCACACCCCUAAUUUCCUCAGAAAAUUUAGGGCCCGUUUGGUAUCGUUUUUGGGCCAGUGUUUUCAUUUUUAUUUUCGGAGUACUGAUAUAAUACAUGUUUGGUGGGCUGAAUCCAAAAAUAAAUUACAAAAUAAGAAAUCCAAAUCUACUUUUUAUAACUAGCAAAGCAAAAACAUGUUUAACAUGUUCUCUACUUAUUACAAAACCAAACUAAAAAAUAAAUCAAAAAACAAAAGCCAACCAAAAAUCUCGUUCACCAACAACUCAAAGGGCUCUCUCUCCCUCAUUUCCUGAUCUACUCACAACGAAGCUGACUCACGGUGCUCUCUCUACCUCCUUUCUUGAUCUGCUCACAACGAAACUCUCUCUCUCACUCUCCUUAUCUUCGCUGAUCUACACACAACAACAAGCUUUCUGUCCUUUUCUCGCCAGAUCUGCUCUCUCUCUAUGUGCCCAUCUCGGUUGAUGCAUUUUAUCUCCGGUGCCGUUGCUGCUUCAUCUCGAUCGACGUCGUUGCUGGUUCAUCUCCGUCGCCGCUGGUGCGCCAUCUCGCCGCAACCACUGCUGCUCCAUCCAACUACCUCGACUGCUUUUGCCCUCUCGGCUCCAUCUUUGUUAUGUGAGUUGCUGAUAUUUUUCUUUUUUAAGGCUUGCAUACAACCGAAUUUUUUAUCCAUUGGUUUUUAAUUUGCUUGGGAAAAUGGUGAAUGUUGAGAAUCUUUGUGUUUGCUAGUAAUUUUUUGUAUCAUUCCCCUUCUUUCUAAUAUUUAAUAAUUAUUUUCUAUUUGGUAAAUAUGAUUUUGUUGGCAUGAGAUUGAUUAAGUUGGUGUUAGUAUAAGAAAAUUGUCCAGUUAAAUUGGAUGUUGGCAAACUGCUACCGUGAAUUAUAUUCGAUGGGUAAUUAUAUUUUUAAAAUGUGAAUUAAUUUUUUUAAAAUGUGGUUUGCUGUUUUGUUGCCGAUACACAUGUUCAGUUUGUUCUGUCACUCCAUGAAUACCAUUUUGACAUGAAUUUGUGUUAUUAAAAAAAGAAAAUGAUUUUUAUAUGUUAGCUUUUUUUCUCAGCCAAGUUGGAAAGAUCAAUAUGUUGGCCUGGGAAUUGCCGUCAGAAAUCAUAAGGGAGAAUUUGUAGCUGCUGCUGUAAAGAAAUCCAAUUUUAAUGGCAAUGUAGCAAUCUGCAGAAGCCGAGGCAGUUGAUUGGGGUCUGGAAAUUGCAAAAAAUGCAGCAUGUGUCCCUCUAAUUGUAGAGUCUGAUUGCAGCUUCUAUGUGGCAUGACUACACACGUUUACCACGUAAUUUUUUAUAAUUAUUUUGUUUAAAUAAUGUAUUGUAAUAUAUAUCUUAAUUAUAAUGUAAAAACAAUGAUAAUGUAAUUUUUUUUAUUAAUGCUAAAACUAAAACUUUAUCAUCAUGUAAUUUUUUAUAAUAAUUUUGUUUAAAUUAUUAUGGUAUAUUUGUGUAUGUAUUAGUUAAACAAUUAUUUUCUAACAAUAAACAUGACUUAAAUGCUUAGUCGAAAUUAUUUUUGAAAAAGGUACUACCAAACGCAUAUUCUCUGUUUUUAUCAUUGUCAAUUGUGUCUACCAAACGCAUAUUACUGUUUUCAGUUUUAAAAUACAGGAUAUAAAAAAUAAUACCAAACGCAUAUUUAAAUUCAAAAUACAGUAACUGCAAAACACCAUUUUCAUUUUUAUUUUUAUUCUCAGAAAAUACAAAUUCAGAAACAAUACCAAACAGGCCCUUAAUUUUUUACCGCACCUCCAAAAUUAAUCGUUGAAUGGAAAAUAAUUUUGAAACCUCAAUUUAAUUUCGAAAUAAUAAGAUUGGUUUUGGUGGAUAUAAUAUUACAACAAUUUACUGAUUAUAAUAAGAGGUUCAACAAGAGUACAUAUUUCCUUGUAUUGUAGUACGGUUUUUUACCAUUUUAUUGUGAAAUGUAAACCCCUCUCUUUAAAGAAGAAUUGGUGACAGGUUUUGAGAAAUUUCCAUGUUAUUGAGAGUGAAGUGACGUUGUGACAGGUUGAUUUAGGUUGGUUCAUAGGAUGAAUAGGGUUCGGAUGUGAGUUUAGGUGUAUAAUAUAAUUUAUGGUGUAUAUAAUAAAUCUAUAUUUUAAAAAGAUGUGAUUGAUCGCACUAGAGAAAUAUUAUAUAUAAUGUCAAUUAAGUAUGCACCUUCACACACGUUAUUAUGUGCAAUAGGCCACGUUUUACUUGAUCAUUGAUUGGCAUCUCACAACCCAACCACUGAUCAGGUAGCACGUGGUUUGUUAUUGUACACAAUAGUGCACUUGAUCAAAUUCGUAUACAUAUAAGUAAUUAUCUAGUACAAGAACUUCGAUUUUAUUAAAGUUGAGGAAAGUUAUUAUUACACCAUAUGAUGUAAAUAUUUUUUUAAACUUAUAACAAAUUUCAGGAUCUAGAUAAAAUAAUAUAUAUGUAUAUGUAAAUGUUUUAGUUAUCUUGAAAUAUGUAAAAUGAAUAAUUUAACAAACUAAUUUACGAGAUUAUUUAAAUCUUGCAAUAAAAUGUUUAUAGUUUAAUGGUAAGAGAUCUAAUUUAUGGUUUCUCCUACACUUUGGUGUUUUUUUUUUUUAAGAAAAAAAAAAAACUUAACCAAAAUUUUAUGUAAGUCACUUGCUAGUUUCUCUUGUGCAUGUGACGUUCUCCUAUUCUGCAAACAUAUUCUUAUGAUUUACGGACUUUUUUAGACAAAGGGCAGAGUGUGGUUUGCUUCGAAACGGUUGUCUAUACUCUGCGUAGUAACACUGAUUUGAAGUCCUUGGAAUCAAAAUAUCUAUUAAACUAACUCAUUUUGGGUCUUCUUACAACUAUAUGCUAAUUAUUUACAUUAUUAAUUUCCAAUAAAUUGAAACGGAUUAAUAAGCUUGUAUCCCUGGAGGCCAUCAAAUUUCCAUUAGAUUUUUCUUUUUGUUUUUGACCACGAGGUAUCAUGGGGAAGGCCCCAACUGUGGGAGACACUUUUAAGCCCGUACCACAAUCCAGACUAGAAGUCCCCGCUCGAACCGAGAGGCACAGGUUCUCCCAACAAAUGCGACUUCCCUGCGACUCGAACUGAUGAGCAAAUCCAGUCAAGCCACUUAAGGGGACUCCAUUGCCAGUGGAGCCAACACUUUGUUGGUAAAUUUCCAUUAGAUUGACAAACAAAGGACUUCAAAAUAUCUUAAACAGAUUUAAGCCCCCUUUUUCAAUUAAAUGAAAAACAUGCUAAAGUUGGAUUCAAUAUGUUGUUGCUUGCCGAAACACAAAUGUUAAAAUAUUUUAAUGUGAUGUUAACACCUGAAACCAUUUGCCAUAAGUUUAAAGUAGAGUUAUUUAUAUCAAGAGUAAUGAUAGACAUCCCUAAGUUUUUAUCAUAAAUUCCAUCUCAAAUGAUAUGUUAUUUAUUAAUUAGUUAAUUUUUUUUACAAGAUUUAAGUGAAUUAAUUAUAUUAUCCUCACCAACUAAUUAAUUAAUGCUACGUCAUGUGGGAUAAUUUUUAGGAUAAAAAAAUUAAAAUACGCAGCACUACUCUUUCACUCUUCAUUCUUUAAUUUUUCUUUAUAUAAUACACUCAUUUUACACAGGGGCGAAGCUAUGAAGGACGACUUUGUUUAUUAUCGAGAGGAUUGAGAACAUGACCAAUGACAGCACCACUCCAGUCGCAUCUUCUCUGAUCAUGAAUAUAAAGGGGUGGUCAGCCACAAAAUCUAUCUUAUCAAAGCGAGGCAGUGACUUCAACGUUAUGACAGCAGCAGAAGCAGCUGCAGCUUCAGUCCCCUCUUCCUUAACUUCUAUGAACGACUUUUGAAAGAUACCUGAAAAAUACAGGUUCUCACCCACACCCACAUGGGAAUCCACCAUCUCUGUCAAACGACCUCCUUUUCUAGAAAAAGACAGCACCAAUCCUAAUGCUUUGAGGACUCUAGAAACUUCGAUUCCAAAAGAGAUCUUAAACCUUGGAAUCCUGAAGUCACCCACUUCGAUCAUCUCAUAUGGAAUGUGAUCUUUUAAGAACCCAGAUUGAGAACCCGUCUUCUUUUCCAAAGCUGGCAACUCAUCUUUUUCAUCCGGUAGAAACAAUUAUGAAACGACAGUUAUCCUCACCUUGUUUGUAAGGCAGCACGAGAACUUUGAAACCAUCGAAGGCAGUGACAAGUUGCUUAUUCUUGCUGGUCAUGAAAGGCACUUUAAUUGAUCCUCCAUUUAGAAGGUGAAAAUCGUAUUCUUUUGUUUUUGAAGAAUCGAAUGCUUCAUUCCAAACUCCUUUGAAGUAGAGUGCAUUCGCAAAAACAAGCUUGCUUGAAUCAUCAACUGACCCAGGAGGAAGAACCUCUUUAAUAAAGCCAUUGGUCUCCUUCUCAGCCCAAAAAUUUAUUUCUCUGGACACUUCAACAGCCUUAUUUAAGGAUGCCAUCAACAUGAAGAGCAUGCAUCACAUCAUCAAUAUCAGUGCUAAAAGAUCAAACGUAUUGUAACACCACUUGUUGUAGCAACUAAAUAAAUACUUAAAAGCGCGAGUAUUUGAGGAUGCCAUCAACAUGACAAGCAUCACAUCAUCAGUAUCAGUGCUAAAAGAUCAAGCUUAUCGUAACACAACUUGUUAGAGCAACUAGUAUGAGGUGCUUCAAAUUUAUGAUGAUGGAGCAGAAAGAUAAAGCAUGAACUCUUAAUAUAGUAAGAGAUAAAAAAUAUUGUGUUGAAAUCCGUAUUUUUCUUAUCUUUUAAUUUCAUCACAUUUAAAUUUUUUGUGGACAUCCACAAGUGAGUAGGAUUAUUUACAUUUUCAUUUUUAUUAUGAGAUUAAAUAAGUACUUAUGACCAUUAAAUAAGUCGUACCAAACAAGCACUUAAACUCAAGUGGAUAUCCGCAUGUAAGCACCACUUUAUACAUAUGUUUAAAAUUUUUUAACAAAUUAAUACUAUACUACAUGUAUAGAGCGAUUCAUGUUUCUGUAAUGCCAAUUCCAUCUAAAUUAUUUUUCAAUAAUACACCAAACAUAUAAUUUUCACCUUGUUUUGGAAAUCGACUUGAUGAGAAGAAGCCUUGUAGAUGUUGUCCACAGUUUGUUUAAAAGUAUUCUUGAAAGAGAGUGACUGAUCAAUCCAAACACCAUUCGCUACAGACAAGCGGGGCCCGCCAUUAGCACUUCCGUCCGCGAAGACGAUGGCGACUAGUUCGGAGGCGAAGUUCUGCUGUUCAUUGGACUUGGACUUAAGAAAGGAGAGCAGUUGUUGGAGGGUGGGGCCUUUAGAUCCCGCCGCGAUCAUGCUCAGCAACACGUGGAUUGAUAACGGCGAGGAAGACGAGGUUGGAGCCUUUAUCUUCGGUUAGAGCCACGUGCUUUGAUAGAGACAAAGUAAUGUCGGUUUGCUCGCUGAUUGAUUCGAGUACGUCGUCCAUGGCUUCGCUGUUCGUGAACUACUAGUACUAUUGUUACUAGUACAUUACUACCCUUACGCUAUAUGUAAGAAUCGUUGACGGGCUUUGUAUACAUUUAGUCCGAACUGCGUGCGACUCUUGUACUGGUUUUGAAAGUAUUAAACCUUAUAUAUGAGACAACGUGGAUUUCGGAUAUACAAGUGUUCUGGUUUUGUUGGCUAAUGUCAUUUCAUCUCCGUGCUAGGUAUGAAAAGUUUGCGUUGGAAUUAAGCUUUAGGGUUGAGACUUCUUUAAUAUUUAAGCUCUACUUUUUAAUAAUGUUAUCUUGCUUUAGAGUUAGUGGGCAUAUAUAUAUAUAUAUAUAUAUAUAUAUAUUCUGUUCUUAACUCUUAUCAUCCAAGCAACAAGGAGUCAAGGAUCUCAUUUUUUAAUAUAUGUCGAUUUCGUCCCUUUACCUGCUGUUUUCUGAAGUAUUUACUCUUUCACACGAUAGAAUGAUAUAUUUGCUCACUCCAAUAUCCAAAAUCUCAUUUUGCAAAAUGCUGUGAUGGAAUCAGUCCGGUGGCUAAAAAUUACGAUCUGACUACUUCUCCAGAUAUUCUAAAAAUCUUAAUUAUAGCAUGUCUUUCUAAUGACAUUGUAGGAUUAAUUUUUAAUUACUUUAAAAAAAUUUCAUUCUUCCUCCACGGUUUUUACAGUUACUUCCAUGCAGGCCAAGAAGAUUAACUAACAUAACGCCACCCGCAAAUCAAAUGAAAUCAAAUAGUUAUUGCAGUCAAUAUCAUUCAAUUCUCUCAUUCAUUCAAGUUCAACUGUUUAAGUGCAUGUAGACAGUAUACACACAAAGACCACCUCAAUCCUCAUACAUGGUAGCUGCAUUAAUUCUCCCUUUCUCAUGGAUAAAUAUAUAAAGAAAGGAAAUGAAAACAGUGAAUUUUCCAACUACAUAUCAAAUUAAUAUAUAGCUGGUUAAUUAAGGUCAAAUUAGAAUUAUGAUUAUUUUUUUCUCUCCUGGGAGAGUUGUUAAAUCCUAAAGUCGACAUCUGGAAGUCAUGCUUACAGUGCUAGAGCUGUAAUUUGUACGUAGGUUUAGGAAUCGGCCACUAACCUUGUUUUUGGUCAUUAUAUGAUUAACUUAAUUUGUAACUAAAGUUGGUUGGUGUGAGUGAUUCGGCACUCUCACUUCUUAAGAGAGGUCAGGGGUUCAAGCCCCGCUCUCGUAUGGAGUCACCACUUUGGCCAGCACUUUACUCCUUAUGGGCCGACCCAGUGCGAGCGGGGAUUAGUCUGGGUUGUGGUACGAGCUUAAAAGUACCUCCCACAAUUGGGGCUCACUCAGGACCACCUCGUGGUUCAAACCAAAAAAAAAAAUUAACUUAAUUUGUGAUGCUAAUUACAUUUAAUUGGCCACAAGUCAGUGGGUCCAAUAAAUUGAAAAGGAUGCUAAUCAUUCUUUUCUAUAAUGACAAAAACGAUGAGGAGGCUAAAACACAAAAGACACCCCUCCACCUCCAGGAAGAGACUGAAGAAAAAGUGAUACCCCCAAGCGUUCUAGAUGGUCGCAUGACGUUUUACAUUUUUUCUUUUUCUUUUUUUAAUGGUAAUUUUUAUAUUGAAGGUUCCGAAAAAAGCCUCCAAUGAUCAGGGAUUCAAAUGAUUAUAGAUAGCAAGCUACGAUGUCGAUUCAUUGUUCUUGAAUCUUCACAAAUUGGACUCGAGUAAGUACCUACAAUAGGUGUUCUGAUGCUUUCAUCAGUAUUCAUCAGUAAGUAUCCAUACCAUAAAUUCCAGUGGAAGGAUCAUUCUUGAUUCCAAGAUCAAUAUGCUCUGGAAUACCAAAGCCAAAACAGCCAGUGUCACUGAAAUUCCGACGCAGAAGCUCAUAUUCCUUCACCUUCAAUCCACUCUCCAAAAGCUGCAUUGCCUUGUCACCUCUAACAGUCACAUAGCAUGCAAUCUUCUCAUUACGUCUGCUCCCAACAGACCGAACAGUGUACCUGGCCUUGGAGAAAAAAGGUGUCUGUCCGCUGAGUUGCUCCAGCACCUUAGAGGCUCUGGUGAGACGAUCUCCACUUUCACCAACGGAGAUGUUGAGCACAAGCUUCUGAACUUUAAUUUCCUUCAUGGGGUUCGAAAGUUUCUUCUCUGAAGCCAUUCUGGUUUGCUGAUAAUGAGUUGCUGCCGCUGCUCAGUGAAGACGGAGACGGAACAAACUCUAACAUGUAUUACUUAUUGUUGAUAUUUUGGGGUUUGGCCAUUAUUUGUCUCUGAAUUUUUGUAUAAGUUAACGUAUGGUUAUUGAUUUCUUGCAUGGAUCAUCAUGAGAAAUAUCCAUUCUAUAUUUUUUGGAUACUUACAUAUAUAAAUGUCAAAAAGUAAUAAAUAGAGGAGAAAGAUUAUAAAAGCAUCUAAGCAUCGCGAACAAGAGAUUAAGUACAAUAUGCGAAGACAUCAUUUUAACAAAUGUUGAUUUACCUUUCGCUAGACUCGCAUUAAUUAAUUUCCGACGACCAACUUUACUUUUCAGAAUUUCCAUUAAUAAGGAUUUCCUUCUUUUCUUAAAUUUGAAUAAAAGGCAACAACCGUAUUACAGCUUCACCAUUUGAAGUUAACAGUUAUUAUAUAUUAUUGACUCAAACCCUAAAAAUUAAAUGAGCAUUUACCUUAUAAGAGUACCAAAUUGAUGAUAACGUCCUCAAAUUUCCUCAAGGAUCAUUUAUUAAACGGUUAUACAGGAUUCUUUUAGGGUGAAGAAGUAUGUUAAAAUGGAAACGAUAUAUGCUCUUGUUGUGAGAUGACGGACUCAGUCGGUCAGUCCAUUUAUGCAAAAGCAAAUGCAUUUGAUUUGCAUUUAGCUGAAAAAUUAAUUGUUGAAUGCUAAUGCUUCAUUUUUUUAUUAGUUACUUCCACGUGUCCCAUGACUAAUGCAAGACACAAGAAGCUUUACUCCUAAAUAGAGACAAAAAGUCAGUAGCUAUUCGCCUAUUCUGGUGCUUUAAUCCCAAUUAUGAGAUUAGAAGGAGCACUCGAUCUAUGAAAAUUUUUAAAAUACCUUAGAUAUAUUACAAUCAAUUUAGAUAUAUUACAAUCAAUUGAUACAUGCAUGAUAUGUGUAGUUGAAUUUAAUACAACCACCACUUGUAUGAUAGUUUUUCAAAUAAAUACACACAUGUCAUAACAUUAUUUUUUUGUUGUAUGACUGACAUGAUACUUCAAAUGUAUUCUAGAAUUAAUCAUCGAUCUAUUCCAAGACAUGUUGCUAAUGUAACGCCUGUUACCGACUAUCAGAAUAAGUCAUGUUGCUAAUGUAACGCCUGUUACCAACUAUCAGAAUAAGUCAAUAAGAUAUUGACUUAAUUAUUUUUUAAUUAAACAUAAAGCCGCCCACAAAUCAAAUUCUUGCAACCCGAAAGCAUAGUACCAACUCACAACAUGAAAGCAGCAAAAUUGUCAUUCAGUGCUCUUAUUCAUUUUAAGUGCAUGCACAAAGACCACCUCAUGCGCGGUAGUUACAUUCGCUCUUUCUCAAGGAAAUAUAUAUAUAAGAAAUGAACAGUUUUCAAUAUAUAUAUAUAUAUAUAGCUGGUUAGUGUCAAAUUAAAUCAGGCUUAUUCUUUUCUCUCUUGGUCGGGGGAGUUGGUAAAACUUAUUACCCAAAUUCGGCUUCUGCAUGUCAUGCAUGCUUGCAGUAAUAGUCCUGUAAAUGUAGGUCUAGGCAUCGGCCAGCAACCUUAUUUUUGGCCAUUAUAUAUAGGAAUAAUUUUAAUUAAUGAUCAAUGCUAAUUACAUUUAAUUGGGCACAAAUCAGUACGUCCAAUAAAUUGAAAUGAGUGCCAAUCCUUCUUUUUGAUGAUGACAUGCAAAAAAGAUGAGAAGGCUUAAAAAACAAAUGAUAACCGUCUAUUAGUAAGAGACAGAAGCGAAAUCCCAAAGAGUUCUAGAUGAUCACAAGAUGACUUUUUACAUUUCCCCCCCUUUUUUUAUGGAAAUUUGCAGUUUAAGGACAAGCACAAUAGGCCAGAACACAAUUUUCAUACAGUGGUUUAUUUACCUCAUAAUAAGCUUGCAUUCUGAAGACGAGCUUAUUUUAUUACAGGAUUUUCUUCAAGCUUCUAUAAGAUAUUUCCACUAGGCUCGUUGACAAGGACUUUAAAAUAUCUUAAAACAGAUUUCCUUUUUCUUUUUGCAUAAAUAAAGCAAUUUAUCUUUCUAAACAUACAUCGUCCAAGUAUCUUGUAACCUACAUUCGAUAAAAACGAACUAUAAUUAAAGUUUUCAAUAUUCACAUUCAUUUGUCUUAUAUAUUUCAUCUUAAGUACUCAUUAAUAGCUAAACGCGCUUGUUUAGGGCUCCUUUGGAAUUGCUUUUGGGAGUUUAAAAAAAUCAAAAUUAAUAUUGUCAAAAUCAAUCAUUUCUACAACUAAUUUUGAAAAAGAAGGAAGGAGUAGCUUUUAGAUUCGGAUUUUGAGAAUAAAUUUUAUCCUUUAAUGCAAUUCCAUAAAUAUCCUUAAAAUUAUUACCUAAACCCAAAAUUAUCCUUAUUCAAAAUGGAAACAAAAUCAAUAUUUUUAAUAUCCUUGCAAUAACUAGGGAUACCAAUGGACACUGCCCGUUGCAAGUUUGACUAUACCAAACCCUCACCAACACAAAAUUUAAAUUAUCAAACCCACUUGCUACUUGUUGUGAGUUUUAAUUUUUUUAAGAAAACACACCUGCAACGGUUUUUGACGAUUACCAAACCCACGAUGGCACCCAACAAAUUUUUUGCAGGCUUCGACAUUUAAAAUCACAAUUACUCAACAUGUAAAUUUAAGCUAGUCGAAAGUACAAAAUUAUCCAUGCUGAUUUUAAACAAGCUGAAUAGAUAACUGUGCAUAUAUCAUCACACAAUUUUGAAAUGUAAUCAAAUACCACAAAAUUGAUGAAAAUAAUAGAUUAAUAGCAGCAGAUAAUGAAAACAAUACCUUCCACGACCACAAUGGAUGAAAAUAGCUACAAUACGAGAAGAUGGCAGCUGUAACGACAAUGACGGAGACGGUAGUGAUGGUUAUAGAAUCAGCAGUAGAGGCAACAACAAUAACAACAAUAGUGGCAAAAUGAAUGGUGGUGGCUGCUGCAAAAUCAAUGGUCGCUGCGGUGGCUGCAACAACACAACGCAAUUAUCGGUGGAGAAAGGAGUUGGGCGCUGACUGUUUGGAUUGAGAAGGGAGUUGGGCAGCAAGAUAGUUGUGCGACUCAUGGUCACGGCUAAAGGUAGAUGACAGAUUGGUUUCCUUUAGUUUACAUUAGAUGAGGGAUCAGCUAAAGAAGUAGAUGGACUUUAGGGCUUACACGUUGUAGCUGCACGCAUGUUUACACAAUUUAUAUAUUUUUAGGCUUAAUUUUUUUAAUUAAAACUUGAAAAAUAUUUCAAAGAAAAGUGGGGGUUUAGCGGAUAUUCAUGCGAGUAUUCACCGAAUAUUUAGUAAAUACCAAACCCACCUGCAAAGUGCAACCUAACAUGGGUUUUGAUUUGUGAUACCAAACUUGCUCGUAAUGGCAAAAUUACACGAUCAUGUUUUGGCGGGUGGGUUUGAGUAAGUUUGCGGGUACCAUUGUCAUUCAUAGCAACAAUCUUACCAAUAAUUGUAUGAACAAAUUUAAUUUACCAAAUUAUUCCUAAAAGUAAAAUAAUAAAAAAUUUACAUUAAUUAUUAUUUUUGAAGGCUAAUUUGAUGAAUUGAUAUUUUUUCUUUUUAUUAAUAUCUUAAGAAUAUUAUUCUAAGAGUAUUAUUAUAAAAGGAAAGAAAAAGUAAUAUAUGGAGUUAUUUUUUUUAAAUAUAAAAAUUAAAUAAACUUUUAAAUCAAAAUAUAAGAACGAAACAGUAUUUACCCGAUUAAAUCUGACAAUUUUUUUGAGAAUAAAGUUUGUUUUAACUUUACAAUAAAAAGCGAAAUGUGACAUGUCCAUGGCAGAUAACUGAUUAGGCUGAGAUGGGCUGCCCAACGACCAUACGCGAUAGCGAACAAGUACGUGUCAUGAACUCCUGCACAACUCGCGUCAAUUUAGUGAUUUAAGCCACUAAAAUAAUGAAUACGAUAUUCUAAUUAAUUAUUCCCAAAGUUGAAGCCAAUUUAUUUUUUUAUAAUAAUAAUAAUACAACACAAACAUAGGAAUCUAUAAUUAAAAAAGAAAAGAAAAGAAAAACUAGAGCAAAUUAAUAAAUAAUAGACCUCACAGAAGUACGCCUCCAGAUGUUACAUUUUAUGCAAAUAAAUCACAAUAAAAUGUCCCCUAUAUGCGACUAUUUAUUACAAAAAUGCUUAAGAAUUUUAAUGCCCGGCCAAAAAUCUUACUCAUCAAGAGGUUGACAUUACAAUUAUAUUAGCCAACUAACGGAGAAUUGCUAGCAACAAUGGCUCAUUUGAGCAGCCGACACGUCUCCUUUUUUGUUGUUUGUGCAAGUUAACUAGGUCUAUGUAAACAUCCGUGGGUUAAUUGUAAGUUUACUUCAGAAUUGUCAUUCACUUAAGUGUUCCAGUUGAUAAUAGAGAAGUUUCACGACAAUACUAGUCCCUUAACAGAAUAAUUAGAAAACAUAAAUAACUAAUUAACAUUCCAUUGCCAAAUUGCCACUGCAGCUUGAAGGCAAAUGAAAGAGAAAGUUAAAAUAAUCUAAAAAUACCAGCCAAUUUCAUCUCUUGUGACCAUAAAGUGUUCCAAUCUGUCAGGGAUAAUUAAGCUUUUGGCUGGCAACGAUAUUGAAAAAAAGCUUCUAUCUGAAUCAAUGCCGUUGACAGCAAUUACCAUAUAUGCUCCCAUUAGUCACAUAUGAAUCUAACCCUGAACAAGAAGGAUUGCCAGUUAAUUCAAUGAUAUACUACUAACACCACCACCCCUGGGCUCACCGUAACAGAGUGAAGCAGAAACAUGCUUGGAUUGUUAUAAUUAAUUAGCAUUUAUUUAUAUAUAUAUAUAGGUCAACUUAACAAAAAUCAAGAAAGUCAAAAAAAGACAUUAGAUAAUUAAUCUGUUGAGGGGAUAGCAGGACAAGGAGGUGGGGUGUCUGAAAAUACAAAAUUAUAAAUUAAUCGGACCCACAAAUUAAGUUUAUUUCAAAGACAUGUAGUAGCUAGAUGAAGACGCCAUUUGAUUCCUUUCCGUUGUUCUUGUCGGUACAUGUGAUUAUGCAAUUAUUUGGCGUCUUUAUAAAGUGGGAGGGGUAUUCAGUUUCAGUAUAUUGCUAGCUAGCGACAACCAAACAGCCACCAUUUGUUCCUUUCUUCUAGCUCCGUGGCGUAAAAAGAGACAAAGAUAUAUACCUCUCAUCAGUACAAUGGUAAUUAACGUUACAGAACCCCCAUAAACUCUCUCAAUAUGCAAUGAUCUCGUUCCAUGCAUGUGUCAUGAGAACAUGCCGCUUCACUAAAGUUUUUCUUUUUGUGUGACAAAAAUUAACAGGGCAGCAGCAGCAAAGAUGAUCACAAAGCACAGCCUAAGCAGGAACGUAGGCUUGGAGGAAGUAGAGCUGUUCUUUUUGUAUACGGUAAAUAAAUAUGCAAGUCCAAUAUUUAAGCUUCUGCCGGCUUUGGAAACCUUAGAAAUUUGGCUUUUUUUAAUUUACAUUCGUUAUCUUGUAUUAGCCAGUUUGUCAAUAAAUGAAGUUUAGUGUCUAAUUGUGAAUCAAUUAAUGUAUACAUGUGUAUAUAUAUACACACAGCAAUGGAGGGACUUGAGAGUAUGUCGUUCGUGGCGAAUAUGGUGAGCCUGGUAACAUAUUUCCACGGAUAUAUGAAUUUCAGUUUAACAAAAUCUGCCACCACUCUUACCAACUUCACGGGAACAGCAUUUCUACUGGCACUCUUCGGUGGGUUUAUCUCUGAUACCUACUUGUCAAGAUUCAAGACUUGCGUCCUCUUUGGAUGCAUUGAGUUGUUGGUACGUAAUGUCUCUUACUGAUAAUCUUCCCUCACUCAAUUUGUUGAUUUCCUAUAAGCUCCUCAAAUUGUGGCUCUUAAUUCUUGAUAUUGAUCCGUUACUGAAAUGAUAGUCCUUGUUUUUAUUGAAAACAAUAUUGUAUCGACGAGUGAGUUACUUUGUACGAUGCUUCUACCGUCAUAUAUAAAUAUAAAUAACGUACUUGCAUGCGCUCAUAUCAUAUCACCUACCGUUUAGAUAAAUAUAUUUGUUUAAUAAAAAUCCACCUAAUGAUUUGUCCCCAAUCUGACCAUCUGAGCAUGAUUUAUUUAGCAGGUAGCUAGUGAGAUUAGCAAUGGUUAAUGACGCCUAGCCCUAAUUUACAAAAUAUAUAUUUGAUGACUAUGGGAACUUAGCACAAGUUAUCGUUCACUUGACUCCAACUUUGCACAACAGCCAUUAAUAUGUUUUUCUGCAAAAUUAUGUACCAUCAUAGAUUAUAAUUGUUAAUAAAUCGUGAUUUCAGCUCUAUACAACGUAAGAAUUUGUUAUAUGUUCUUUUUUUUUUUUUUGCCCCACAUACUAGUAAGAUCAUUUCUUUUUUUUUUUUUCUUUUUUCUAAGAGAUAACUUUUUAUAGCUUUUAUGAAGAAUGAAGAAGAAUAAAAUAAAACCAAACGAGACCAGUCAUGAUUUCAGGUCAGCACAACAAAAGAAGUUGUUAGAUGUCUCUUUUGGUUAUGCCGGAUUAUUUUCAGAAAAAUAAUAUUUUUGUAGCUAAUUAUAUUAAGAAGAGUAAUCCUAUCACCCGGAAAAAAAUGAUCCCCAUCAUAAGCAUCCCAAAUGAUUUGUCUUUCUUGUGGAGAGCAAAAUGGUGAAUUGAAAACUAUUCAAAAAUCAAAAGCACCAUCUGCUUAAUCAUUGUCUAGAAUAUGGUGGAUCUAACCAUGACAGAUCAAUAAACAUAUUUGCAGGGACUUGCAAUCCUGGCAAUACAAGCACACGCACACCAGCUAAGACCAAAACCCUGCGUAGGUGUUGCACCGAACCUAGUGAAUCAAUGCGACGAUGCUGAUGGAACCCAAGUUGCGAUUCUUUUUACCGGAUUAUACCUAUUUGCAUGUGGCACCGGUGGGGUUAAAGCAGCUUUGCCAUCAUUGGGUGCUGACCAAUUUGAUGAAAGGGACCCCAAAGAGGCAGCUAAAUUUUCAAGCUUUUUCAACUGGUUUUUGUUUAGCCUUACGGUUGGAUCAAUAAUCGGUGUCACAUUCAUUGUUUGGAUAAGUACCAACCAAGGUUGGGAUUGGAGUUUUGGUGUGUGCACCAUAGCUGUCUUAUUUGCUACAGUAUUCGUAAUCAUGGGCAAGUCUUUGUAUCGCCAUAAUGUCCCCAAAGGAAGCCCCAUCAUUCGCGUUCUUCAGGUUUUCGUAGCUGCCAUUCAUAAUCGAAACCUUCCUAAACCGGAAAUGGCAGAUCAAUUACAUGAGAUUCAUGACAGAGAAGCAGGGCUGGACACUGAAAUCCUUAAGAGGACUGACCAAUUCAGGUAUUUUAAUUUGUCUGACUUUGCCAUGCAAUUCACAAUUGAUUUAUAACUAUAGUUUAAGUUUAUCUGAUCAAUAUUCAUAUUAAAAAAAAUCCUCAGGUUUUUGGACCGCGCUGCAAUCACUAGGACAGCUUGUGACGGUAGGGCAUCGACAUCAAUCAAUCCUGGACCCUGGCGUCUAUGCACAGUAACACAAGUUGAGGAAACUAAGAUUCUACUUCGCAUGCUUCCAAUUAUAGUUAGCACCCUGUUCAUGAACACAUGUUUGGCUCAGCUCCAAACUUUUUGCAUCCAGCAGAGCACAACAAUGGACAGAAAUUUAUUUGGUUUUAAGGUGCCUGGACCCUCCCUUCCAGUUAUCCCGUUAGUGUUCAUGUUCAUUCUUGUCCCCAUAUACGAUCGCGUGUUCAUCCCAAUUGCUAGAAAGAUUACAGGAAUCCCCACUGGAAUUCGACAACUUCAACGAAUUGGAGUUGGAUUAGUACUCUCAGCCGUUUCAAUGGCGGUUGCUGCUGUUGUAGAAACCAAGCGAAAAUCUGUGGCUGUUGAGCACAACAUGGUUGACUCUAUUGAGCCACUGCCAAUGAGCGUGUUUUGGCUGGGGUUCCAGUACGCUAUAUUUGGAGCGGCUGACAUGUUCACUCUUGUUGGGCUGCUUGAUUUCUUUUAUGCGGAGAGCUCAGCUGGAAUGAAGUCAUUGAGCACAGCCAUCUCAUGGUGCUCAAUAGCAUUUGGCUACUUUUUGAGCUCUCUGGUGGUAGAGAUUGUGAACAAGGUCAGCGGUGGAUGGUUGGCUAGUAACAAUUUGAAUAGAGAUAAGCUCAAUUACUUCUAUUGGUUGCUUGCUGGGAUAAGUGUGUUAAAUUUCGGGUUCUAUUUGGCUUGCGCGUCUUGGUAUCGAUAUAAGGAGGUUGAAAUUAAGCAGGUGGAAGAUUGUAGUGAUGUUGAUACCAGGGGAAAGAAAAAGGUUGAAAUGGUGAGAGUUUAGAGAUCGUAUGUAGCUCUUAAGAGCUUUCUUGCUAAUGGUUCUUCCAAUCUUGUUGCAUCAGUCCACGUUGGAUCCUUUUAUCUAUCGAUUAUAGUAAUAUAAAAUAAUGUCAUUCACGAAACCAAAGUAGGAGGCUAUUCGUUGAUUGAUCAAAUAUCCUGCGGGUUACGUAUAUGCAACAUUAAACCCCGCUAGCUAACUAUAUUUGUAUUUACUUUGUACAACAGAGAGAUGUUAGAAUUGGCAUGGACCAAAAAGUUUAAAAAAUUGAUCCUUGAACGGGAUGCAUGAUGGUGAUAAACCACAGAAAUUUAGGGUCGCAUGGGUUGGAUUUUAAGUCAAUUCAAAUCAAAUAAAUAAAGUUUGGAUGUAACUUAAACUAGUCCAAAUAUUUUUAAUCAAACCUUAACUAACUUAUUUGGGAUUGGUUUAAAUUUCAUGAUCAAAAUAUUUUUUUUGAUAAAUUUAAUUAUAUCAAAAUUCUAAUAAUUUUUAAUUGUUAUAUGUAUUAAUUAUUAAAUUAAUAUUAAAAUAUGAAAAAUUAUUUGAUAAAAAAUUAUAAAUAAUAAAUUUUGUAAAAAUUUCUUCCUCAAAUUAGAGAAUAAUAAAAAAUUAAAAUAAAUUUUAAUCACAGAAAUCAUUGUUUCUCAACAAAUGAGACCAUUAAUAAUAAACCCCCACAAGCUUAAAAUCAACAAGUAAAUUAAAAGAAAGAAAAUAAAAAGCUAGUAGUAUUAACUCCAUUACGACACAAACUUUAACAAUAUACCUACAAAUCAAAGUAAGAUAAAACAACCUAACGCUAAGUAUCAAAGCAAUCUAUCAUAAUCUUUCCCUCAACAAUACUUUCAUCAAGAGCUUUCAUUAUCAACCAAAUCAACGCAUUCACCAAUAAAUAAAAUAAAAAUAAUAAUAAUGUUGAAUAGUUAUAAAGAUGAGUAAAUUUAUAAAAGAAAAUGAUUGUUGAUUCAUACCAAAAUCAUAAGAAUAACAUCAACUCAAAACUGUUGCCUUUCUUGUUAUAUUUGAUUCAAAUUCUACAUUAAAUUAAAAAUAAAUUAAUAAAAAAUACUAGUUAUAAACAAAUAUAUACAUGUUUUUACUUACUAUGAUAAAUAGUUACAUGACAUCAUGGCUUUAUAGAACACAAGCUCCUCCAUCAUUUGUUCAUGUUGUGUUAGGAAAUAUGUUUCCUUUUUCAAUAAGGAUAUUUCCUAGGUUUUUUUUUAUUUAGUAAUUUCCUUACUCAGAAGGAUUCUUAUUUAAGAAAUAAGUAAUUUCUCUUUUGGGACUUGACUUAUUCAAGAAAAAAUAUAACUAGUAUAAAGAAAGGAACAUUUUUUUCUACAAGAAAAUAAUUACUAUAUAUAGAGCGGUUGGGUCCACUUGUUUAUAUAACAAAACACAACAAUCAUUUAUUUAUAAAUAGACAAUUUUUAAUGAGAGAGAGCCUAUGAGAGAUUGAGUGUUAUUGGAGUUUUGAGUGUGACAAAAAUAUUAGAGUGAUUGUAGUAAUUUUUUAUAUAGUAGUUUUUUCCCGUUGUUCUUAACGGUCAUGUUUUUUCUUUGAUAUAAGAUUUUUUCUACGUAAAUUCCUGUUGUGUAAAUAAUUUUAUUCUCUAUCUAAAUUUUAUUUAUUAUUUGUUUGAUAUUUUUAUUUGUAAGAUCUUGGAUAAUAUUAAAAUUUCCUAACAUCUUGUAAUGGGACAAAAGUUGAAGGUAAUGAGACUGACUAGUUAUUAUUGAUGACACAUUUGAGAAAAUCUCGAAGUUAAUUGGAAAUUAAAACCACGAGAACUUGCCACUUAAUGGCUAAGCUGCUUGCUGAAAUCAAUUCGAAGAAAUUGCUGAUCGCUCCAGUGAUUGAGAGCUGCUUCAUGUUUGAGAUGAAUCUACGUGGCUUUUCAAAAAUCAUUAGGAUGAAACUACCCCGUGUGAAGUUUAAUUGGCAAAGUCACAUGGUUACAAGCCCAACGAUCGAAAGUAUUGGCUAAGAGUUUGCGGACUAAGAGACAUUCUCUCGUAGCAAAGCAAAGAAAGAAGUCAAUGGAACCUCAUUAAUUAGGUGUGAGCAUAUUUAGGUUUUGAAGUAUCUUUUAAUAUGUAUACGGUAUACCCCUUGUUACAUUAAAGCCACUGCCACGGAUCAGAGGUGGUUAAUAAAAGCCAAAGGAACCAUAAGCAAAGACAUUAAGGCAAUACGAAAAUCCCUUUGUUCUUAAUGUGAUUCUUAGAAACCAAAAUCAUAUCGGUAGCCUGAGCAGGCGAAACAUCAUGCAAUUGAUGUCAUGAGUUAUUGAUACCGAUGAUACAAGCUGUGGCUUGAUAAAAUUUUAUUUACUUACGUAGCUUACGUUUUGUUAGAGUUUUAAUUUGAUUUUAUUUUCGAACAUACCGGCGGAAAUGAAAAUAAUAAGAAGAAGAAGAAGGGGGCAAAAGAAUCGGGCGCUCUAUGCAAAAGUUGGCUUCAGAUAAAAUGAGACUACGAAGAAAAUCCAAAGGAUUUUUUCCCUUUUCUUUUCUCAUUUCAGCCUUUACAACUUUGUCCUCCGGUGCUUUCAGAUAAAAAGAACAAAAGUUCAAAGUUAAUAAUGCUACAAGAUUUUGAAUGACAAUUGACACCAGGGCAAAAGAUCACAAUGUUAAAAAAGAAAUGUACAAGUCAAAUCAUUUGAAUUUCUUUUUUCUUUUUCUCCCACUCCCUUGCCAAAGAAUAUCAGAAUAAAUGAUUCCAUAAAAAAUGGCUGUCAUCGGCCAUGAUUGGGCCGUGCAGAAAUAUACACACUGAUUGAAGAGACGAACCAUUAAUUGAAACGAUGUCCAGGAUAUGCAUGAACUUGACAAGGCAAAAUAUUGACAGCCGCUCGUUAAUGAGCUAAAAGUGAGGAAAAUAAUUUUAAAAAUUGUUAAAGUUUCAUCCUUUUCCACUGCACCCAGGUAGAAACAUGUCACGAGAUUGGCACAGCAGCAUUCUUCAUUGCAUAAGGAUCAUCUAACAUGUUGGAUACUCUGGACGGAGGCCAAUAACGAAACACUGACCUACCGACGAUGUUCUCAAUAGGAAGCGGACCCCUGAAAAUAAGAUCAACAACAUAUGAAAUUGCACUUAUUAGUACACACUAAUGAACCAAGAUAACUUGCAACACUACUUAUCAAAUGUAAACUUCCUCUCGCUUCUGAAUUACAGUACGUUUAGGAAAUGAUCAAAAGGGUAAUAAACUUAGAAGUUCAUCAGUGGGUCAGUGAGACUAAGAGAUUCGCAAUUACCAGUUAUGAGAAUCAAAGCUGUUAUUACGAUUGUCUCCCAAUACAAAGACAUAACCUUCAGGCACAACCUGCAAAAAGCAAACCGCACAUUAGACUCCAGUAGCCAAUUUGAGCGGGUUUGGUAACACAACAAAGAAACUACCAAUCAAAAGAGAAACAGAACCAGAAUAGGAAACAUUACCACUGGGUCCAUUUCAUAAGCUAGUGGCUCCAGAAUGAAAUCUUCAUCUUGAGCAACACCAUUUACAAGCAGUUUCCCACCAUGAACCUAUCAACAAAAACCACAUGAAUGAUAUCAGACAUCUGAAAGCAGGAAUUUGAUAACGAUUUUUGGGGAAAAAAUGGAGGACGGAGAAUAGGGGAUAAAGGAGGACCUAAAGUUGAUAUAUGGCAAUAUGGGAUCAAUAUGAUAUUAGCUUACUUCGACACAAUCUCCAGCCGUUGCCACUAUCCUUUUUAUGAAUACAUCACCAGAACUGAAACCAAUUUCCUAUAAUACCACAAGGUAAAAAAAAUUAGCAAAUAGAAAUAGAACAGAAAGAAAUCCUAAUUUUUAAACUCAAAAAGUGAGAUCAAGUGAUACCUGCAAGAUCGGAGGUGCCCUAAAGAUCACUAUAUCAGAUACCUCAGGCCUUUUGAAAAAGUAUGAAACCUGAUAGACCAAGGACAAAAGCAAAAAGACAUCAGCUAAUUAUCCGAGGAUGCAAAUUCACCAUAUAUAUAUAUAAAUCUUAGAAACAAAUCCUGGAUUUCAACCUGUAUCUCAUUCUCUCGCAUAAUUCCACAAAUUGAACAUUUUCAUCCAUUGAUCAUCAAACUCAUAAAGCUUAUAAAGGGCUUAUGAAGGGCUCUGAGUAACAUCAAGAUGCGCAGAAUUGUAAGAAUGAAAGCAACCAAAGACUUAAUGUUUCCAUUGGAGAAGAAUUCGAACAUAGAAUGUUCCGUGAAAAAGGCUCAUCAUUUUCGUUCAGGUAAAUUGACUUCGCAAAUCAGUGGAAUCAUUGAAAGUCUGGUUGAGUGUAAGUUUAUGUCGAAUAACAGGUUUUAUAUAGGGUACGGCAGCGCCGGUAUUUAGCUUAUACCAAUGCCACAAACCACUAAGCAAAAAUAAUAAUUAUUAUUUACGGCAAGACCAAAAGUUUAUAAAAAUUACAAAUUCUAACAAGGUUAAAGAUGCUUCACCUUCUCUGCCAAAAUCCGGUCACCAACAUCCAGGGUAGGGUUCAUAGAAGCCGAUGGAAUGGAUCUGGGCUCAGCCAAGAACGACUUGAACAACAAACUAACAGUCAAAGCCGUAAAGGCGGCCUUGGCAUCAUCCGAACAUACAUUCAACAACUUCGAUAACCAACUUCCGCUCGUUUUCAACUGCAAGCUUACACCAUUCAAAUUUUCACUACCACUAAACUGUAUUUUAUCAGUAGUCCCUCCUUUAUCCACGUAAUCACUCUCCGGAACGGUGCCCGGCUCGUUACAGGGAAGCCACUUCGAUCCCUGUAAAAAGGGAAUAAUCGAAGCGGCUUUAAACGGUGAAAUCCCAAAGACACCCAUGGAGGUUGCAGAAGAACCGGGCAUACCAGCCGUUGACUUCAUCAACGAGACCAAUCCCAUGAGGAUCGGACUGUUGCAAGCGCCGUCACCGAAUAUUUCGGCGGCGAGUGUGUUACAUCGGUAAUUUGCUUUGGGCUGAUAAUUUGGGGCCGGAUCAAGGUCGGUUUUUUUGUUGUGGCAGAAGACUCGAGGGCGAAACAAGCAUUCGUGGAAGGAGCGAGUGGAGGUGGUGGAGAAGCCGAAGCGGAUUCCGGCGGAGUGGGCGAGGUUUUGAGCGACGUAACCGGAGAAGUUGACGGUGACACGUAACGCCAUAUUUGCGAUUUUGAAUAGCUUGAGGAGGAUUAGUUGAAUUGCGCUUUCGGAGAUGAAAAGGGUUGAUCGGAGGAGAUCUAGAAGCUGAUAAACGACAUCGUCACGGGCUGAUUCAGUGAGUCGGAAGCGGGAAGGUUGAAUUGAGGUUUCGAGGGUAAAACCGGACGCCGAUGUGAGAUCGCUUUUUGGAGAAAAUCAGCGCUCAAAUUUACGAGCUUUUGUUUUAUGCUUUGCUUCUCUCUGGGAGGCAGAGAGAUGGAGCUACACUCGAAACCAAAUGCCGAACAAACAGUCGCUGAGUUUAAGACUCCAGAGAGGUAAAGAAUAAGAAGGACUCGAGAGUCCAGGAAAAGGAUUAUAAGACGGCGGCUGUCUGCGGGUUACCCAAAAAGGCUUUGUUUCUCUCUUUAUUUACGCAACUUACCAGCGUCUUUCCGUUGAACUCCGUUUGGAAGUGGAUUUUUUUUUAAAAAAAAAUUUGCAUAACAAAAUGAACAAAAUUCAACUUUUUUGAAUUUCUAUAUCCCUUCCUUCUUCUCCUUUUUCCUUUUUUUUUUUUACUACAAAAAUUAUAUGAUAAUUAAGUUAACGCCUGUUGUUGGACUUGGAUAUAAGAUAAAAUUAAAACUACUAACUAGUACUGACUUUCAAUAUGUAAAUGGAGAAAAUAGGGAGGGUAGUUUUGGCAUUUCUCAAAGGACGCUAAAUUCGUGGAAGGGGUUUCUAACGAGCGAGUGCAUGUAUUUGUUUUGGAUUGAUGGGUGUUUAGUUGAGGUUUGACUUUGACCACGGGAAGGCAUGUUAUCUGUGCGUUACCUUCCUGCAACUUCCCUGAACCUCCCAGCUGACGUGGAGAAUCCGUUUCGCAUUGAUUUAGAUGCCCUUCAAAUGCGUUCACUCUAUGGCUGAAUAAUUGCAAUUGUCCCCUCAAUUUUGUGAAAUUUGAUAAGUCUUGCCCGAUAUAUGAGGAAUUUGUGAGGAGACCCUUUAUUUCUAAAAUUACAUUCUAGGUCAUGCAUUCAACUAAAUAUAUAUAUUCUCAUAUUUAUGAAAAAUUAAAUUUCGAGACUUUAAUUUCUCUCUUAUUAAUAUGUAGGGAUAAAUAAAAUAAUACGAAAAAAAUUGAAGAAAUUUUUUAGAAUUUAACAUAUUUGAUAUCAAAAUUAUGGGGAAUAAACAUCAAUAUAUCACAUAUUCUUUCUGUUUUUUUUUUUUUUGGGUAUGUCGAAUUAAUUAGGUAACAUUGAAUAAUUGAUUAAGUUCAUUUUUAAUAUUUUGUUUAUUAAAUAAAUAUAAAAAUCAAAUUAAUAGUUCCUUUAAUAUAAAUCAGCGACUUAAUUUUAUUAUACUGGAUUUGUUUCGUAAGCCUGAAAUGACCAAAUGAUUGCAGAUGAAAUUGCGAAAUCAUUAAAACCAAAGGGAGAUAAAAUUUUAAAAAAAAAUGAAAAAGGGACUUCCAAAAAUAUGGAAGGGCCGAAGGGGUCUUAUUUAGAAUAAACCACUUGACUCAAGGGAGUUAGUUACUCAGACUCCUAAAGGACGACGCAACUAGUGGCGUAAGCGCAUACCUCAGCACCGGAGUUGAUUGGUCGUCGGAAAGCUAAUGACAUUACAAAUUAUGGACUCGACUAGCUUACAGAAUCUGUAAGGUACAGACUGCAGCAUCAGCCGUUGGAUGUGGUUGGAUGUGGAGUGAGAAAAUAAACAAUAGAAAAUCGGAUGGUGGGAUGACGGGAGAUGUUUGUUACAGAAUCUGUACCAUAAACAGGUCCUACAAAUUAUAUAUGAUUGAAAAAUAACACAAUCAUUUCCUGAUAUAAUAUAGAGAAAAAUUGCGGAUUUUGCAACUACUGACAGUUUUGAUUAGCUUUCAACCAUUUUGAAACAAUAUUUUAUUUAACCAAUUUACCAAUUUCCUGUAGCAGGUAGUUUGACUGACUAUUUAUGUUAUGGUUUGUGUAUAAUUAGACAAUUAACGAGACGACGUCAAAUGAAUUUGGAUUGUGUCAUUUAUCACAUCUUCCGCAUCCGUGCCACCGUGGCACCAUUGGGAUGAUAUUGUUUAUACACAGAUGGCAAUAAGACGGAAUCGUUUGCGCUCUAGUUUAUAUUUUGAGCACGUUUAUUUUAAUAAAAUCUUAUAUCAAUAAAAUAAUCUUGAUUGAAUUUACUAUGAAUGACAUUGAUAUUAUUUAGAAAAUACUCUUACCGCCCAUACAAAUAAUCCCAAACACUUUAGUCUAAUAUUAAAUGAAAAUGCUUCGUUUUAUAUACACCCUAGAAUUGAUUUGAAAAUCAUCAAGCCACCCACACAAUCUUUAGUGUUUGCUGCUUUACAUUCCAUAAUGUGACAAAAUAAUAACAAUUAACAAGAAGAAAGGACGUUAAUGUGGAGGAACAAAUAAUUAGGGAUGGCAAUGGGGAGGGGAGGGGACUGACAUUUCCACACUCAUCUCCGAUAUUCUGCAUAUAUCCACGUCCCCUUCUCGUCCCCAUUAGAAUUGCUUGAGGGGAUCCCCGUCCCCUCCCCGAAUAAUAAGAGAGGAUCCCCGAGGGCUCCUCAAUCUCCGAAUAACUGAUACGUUUUUAAACUUAAAUUCUGAAUUUAAUUUAAUCAUAUUAAAUUAAAAAUUUAAACCAAAGUAAGGUUUGACAAUAUACCUUACACUAACAUUAAUCCAUUAUAAAAAUUACACUACAAAAUACAAGUCAUUAGAAUAAUUACCUUCAUCAAUCUUCAUGAUCUUAUAAUAAAAAAAAUUACUUUUAUAUCAAUAAUGAAAUAAAUGAAAUGUAGUUUGACUGACUAUUUAUGUUAUGGUUUGUGUAUAAUUAGACAAUUAACGAGACGACGUCAAAUGAAUUUGGAUUGUGUCAUUUAUCACAUCUUCCGCAUCCGUGCCACCGUGGCACCAUUGGGAUGAUAUUGUUUAUACACAGAUGGCAAUAAGACGGAAUCGUUUGCGCUCUAGUUUAUAUUUUGAGCACGUUUAUUUUAAUAAAAUCUUAUAUCAAUAAAAUAAUCUUGAUUGAAUUUACUAUGAAUGACAUUGAUAUUAUUUAGAAAAUACUCUUACCGCCCAUACAAAUAAUCCCAAACACUUUAGUCUAAUAUUAAAUGAAAAUGCUUCGUUUUAUAUACACCCUAGAAUUGAUUUGAAAAUCAUCAAGCCACCCACACAAUCUUUAGUGUUUGCUGCUUUACAUUCCAUAAUGUGACAAAAUAAUAACAAUUAACAAGAAGAAAGGACGUUAAUGUGGAGGAACAAAUAAUUAGGGAUGGCAAUGGGGAGGGGAGGGGACUGACAUUUCCACACUCAUCUCCGAUAUUCUGCAUAUAUCCACGUCCCCUUCUCGUCCCCAUUAGAAUUGCUUGAGGGGAUCCCCGUCCCCUCCCCGAAUAAUAAGAGAGGAUCCCCGAGGGCUCCUCAAUCUCCGAAUAACUGAUACGUUUUUAAACUUAAAUUCUGAAUUUAAUUUAAUCAUAUUAAAUUAAAAAUUUAAACCAAAGUAAGGUUUGACAAUAUACCUUACACUAACAUUAAUCCAUUAUAAAAAUUACACUACAAAAUACAAGUCAUUAGAAUAAUUACCUUCAUCAAUCUUCAUGAUCUUAUAAUAAAAAAAAUUACUUUUAUAUCAAUAAUGAAAUAAAUGAAAUGGGUAUAUAUAUUGAAAUUAAUAUUUUUAAUGAAAGCAUUUACUCUUACACCUCAUGCUCCUCAUGUUCUUCCUCAAGGAAUGUGACAAAUUGAAAUAUAAUAUCAUGUUUCAAAUCUAAAACAAUAAAAUAAUAUAAGCAAUAUGAGUCAUAUGACUCAUAAUCUAAAAUAGUUUUGGGCCAAGGCAUUUAGAAUAAGAUCUGGUCAAAUAGUAAUUCAUGACUACAACUAGUUAAGUAGGCUCAAAAUUUUUAUAGUAGAUUUGUAUAAAUAUUUUGAUUUUUUUAUUUAUACAAUAUUUAAUAUAAUUUAAAUUUUAUUAUUCAUUUAUUAAGAAUUCUAAAAAAAUAAAAAAAAAAUUAAAAAUUAAUAUAAGGAAAUGGGGAGGGGAUGAGGAUUCCAUCUCAUCCUUGUCCCUUCCCCGAAUAUGCAAUUAAGUAAAAAAUUAUCUCCGUCUCUUCUCCGAAUAAGAAAUUGGAUAUAAAAUCGUCCACAUACCCUCCCCGAAUAUGGAAAAUCCCUAAGGAUCCCCGUCCCCGUGGGGAUUUUUGCCAUCCCUACAAUUAAUCAUGCAUAUUUGAUAGGGAUGGCAAUGGGGAGGGGAGGGGAGGGGACCAAUCUCCCCGUACCCAUCCCCGAUAUUUUGCGUAUGUCCCUGUCCCCGUCAGAAUUACUUGAGAGAAUCAUCAUCCCCUCUCCGAAUAAUAACAGGGGAUCCCCAAGGGUCCCCGAUCCCCGAAUAACUAAUACAUUUUUUGUUUUUGAUUUUGAGUUAAUCAUAUUAAAAUAAAAAAUUCAAAUAAAAGUAAAGUUUGAAAUAUAUCUUACAUUAAUAUCCAUUAUAAAAGUCACAUACAUUAAAUUAGUAAGUAACGCAACAUGUAAGGGAUACAAACUUCUUUUACAAACGAUCGUGAAUAAAUUAAUAGUCUAAUACAAAAUUGUUACAAAUAAAAUCGAAUUUAGAUUCAAAAUUAACUUUUUCAAUUGUGGCGUGGGCACUUUAUAAAUGUGGAUUAUUUCCUUUACAGCACAAUAGUUAAAUCAUAGCAAAUCAAGAGCAAAUAUUAUAUUAGAUUAAAUUAGAUAUAAAAAUUGUGAUUCGCUGUGGGCAAUUAUAACAUCUAAAAAUAAAUAAAUAAUAUAUUUAAGUUUAAAACAUUUAAUGAAUAUUAAAAUUAAAAAAAAAAUUGGGCUAAUAGAAUUUACCCAGUUGUUUUAAUGUCUUAAAUAAAAAUUUAGGACUUUAAUUAGUUAAUUAGGCCUAAAAGUUUAAUAAUAUAAAUAUUUUGAUAUUUGUUAUUUUUUACCAAUAUUUAUAAUUUUAUAAUUCAAAUUUUAUUAUUUAUUUACUAGUAAUUUUUAAAAAUAAAAAUAAAAUUAAAAAUUAAAAUGAGAAAAUGGGUAGGGGAUGGGGAUUCCACCUCAUCCUCGUCCCUUCCCUGAAUAAGAAAUUGAGUAUGAAAUUAUCUCCAUACCCUCCUCGAAUGGGAAAAAUCCCCGAGGGUACCCAUCCCCGUGGGAAUUUUUGCCAUCCCUAAUAUUUGAUAUGACACAGAAUAUUUUCAGCUUACACAUUUAAUGGAAUAUGUACAUGUAUAUAGCCCAUGAUCCAAUCUCAACCAAAAGAGUUUCAUCACAAAUCUUGAAUCGCGACGACAAGUUUGGGAAUCAUCGACCAACAUAAUAUAACUUAAGAAUGGCAAAUAUUUUUUAUGGGUGUACAAAGAAAAUACAUAUUUAAUGGAAUAGUUUUAAUAGAGGAUAUUUAUGACAUUUGAAAGAGGGUGAAGAGUAAAAAUUAUGAUAUGAAUGAAUAGAGUAAAAAAGAAAAAUAUUCUCAAUAGAUUUUAGAAUUCAAAUAUUCUUACCCACGUCAAUAUCGAAUGAAAGAGUGGGACUAUUGUCACCCCUCUAAAUAUCUCUUAAAACCCCUUUAAUUAUUUUACAAUUUUAAUCUUUAUUGAAAUUACAUAUUAGGACAAUUUCUAAUUAAACUCCAUUCAAAAGUCAAAUAAUUUUUCUAUUUUAGAAAUUAAAAAGGUUAUUUUUCUCUAAUUUUUAGAUGAGUAAUUUACCACCGAUGGCUGCCGUAGGGAAAAUGAAAACUCAUUAUUAUUAUUUUUAAAUGGAAGAGACCUGGUUGUUGAAAUGAAGUUUAAUAAUAAAAAUUAGAGAAUGAGAUUUACACAAUAAGUUUUACUUAAGGGUAUUUUUGUCAUUGAUAGAGGUGUUAAAAGAAUUUUAUAAUUUUUUAAAAUAUUUUAAUGAAGUUAAUUAAGAAAAAAGAGUGUUAAAAGAUAUUUAGAAGGGUGCCAAUAGUCCCACUCCGAAUGAAAAUGCAGUUUUCUUCUCCACAAACAAUAAUUUUAUUAAUAAACUUUACUGGAUCUCGUUAUCCUAAGCCCUAAUCAACUUCCAUUAAAGUGAAAGAUAUUGUGUGCGUACGUUUGUCCUUCUCUUUUGAUACCACUCUGAGUCUCUGAUUAGGAAUUUAGGAUUGUAACUUUGCACAACUAAGGAAGCGAGAAAUUUAAGCAAUAAUGAAUUUAAAUUUGCUGGCACUGCGAGGGCGCAAGUUAGGCCCAACAAGUACUGGAGAAUAAGUUUAACAAUGGAUCAGGGACUCGAACGUAUUGGGCUUUUGAACAUUAAGGUUCGAUUUUGGUUACGACCAGAAUAUACACACACACAUAUAAUACGACAUGAAGCCCACUCUAUAAACCUAAAAUAGAAUCACCCGGAAGGUUGAACUUUGGGCUUACGAGCUGGAAUAAACGACCCCUUUUCUCAGCUUGCCUGACAUAGUCAUAGUCCAAUAGUCCUUGUAGCUGAAGGACCAUGAAACCUUGUAUGUUCCCUUAUUUUCGCACAUUUAAGAAAAAAGAUGCCAAGUACGAAUUUUAAUGAAAAUAAUCUCUUUUUACCUUAAAAAUAAAGUUUUGGCUUAGAUAAUACAUGAAAAAAAAAUACAUGUUUUGAAGCGGAUAAGUAUAGUUUUUACAUUUGUUUUUUCUUUCUUUUUUCAAAAAAUUAAAAUAAAGUGAAAUAAAAGGACCUUAAUUUAAUUAAUAGUUAUUAUAUGUAUCACGUUGUCUCUUAAAAAAGAACCUCCACACAUUGAAGCCCAUUGGAUUGGGGCUGGGCUUUUGGGCCAUCUGAGCGCAUGACUUCAUUUGCUAGCUAUUGGCUACACAGCCAUUUAAAAGGAAACUAAUGAUAGUAAUAGAGCAAAGUGGAAGAGCACCACUCUGUUUUAAUUAACUAUAGUAAAAGAAAAUAUUUUUAAGUCCACCAUCCACACUUAAUCCCGAUGGUGGUGUGUAUGUUGCAUAUAAAACAAAUUGCGAUGUUUAUUAUUUAUAGAAGCAUAAAUCAUAGGAAAAGGAAGUCCCAAUUCCAGAAAGACACAGAGGUAUAAAAAUUUGACAAGAGAUCGUAGUUAUAUUAGCGUCAAUUUCACUUUCGGCGGGCAAACGUUUCUGUGUGGUCCAUUUCCUUCCAUUAGUUUCUUUAUAAUUAUUAAAUUAUCCCAUAAAUGUGCUUAGACAACUAAUUCGAUUAGUAUGGUCAUAUAUUCAAGUUAUGGACGCAGCACGCUCAGUUGCUUGUGCAUAAAACAACAUGAUGUGAACAGUAUGCAUGCUGUCCUCUAAUUAUAAUCAAGUAGAAACUUCAAAGGCGUGCCAGCAAUCGAGGGCUCACAAUUGCCGCUGCCAUGACUACGGAUUUGGGGCGAUGAAACUUUUUACCCUACAGGUUGUUACCGCAGAGUUAUCACUGUAAAUAAAAGACUCGUUCAAAAUGGCAGGCAGGCAGGCCACGCGAGAAGUUGGCACGUGGUAAUGUUGGUAAGAUCUGACAGCUUGCGUUUGCCCCUCUCUCUGUAUCACCACCUAACUUUCUCAAAAGUUACCGCCAAACACGAAUCGAUGACCGUGGGACCAUUUCCAGGCGAUCUUUCCAAGCGUGCACGAUUACAUUUUCACGCGCCCCGUGGUGUUGAAACUGAACUGGCAAUUUGGGAAAAAGUAAUUUUGCCCGAAAAACCACCGGCGAAAGCAAUUUUACCGGAUACGCGCCUGUUUUCGCGUGCGUGAGGGUUUCCCACCCUCCGUCAGGGUUUAGGCCCACUACGAGAAUUCAGGAGCCAGACGUAGGACCCAUUUGACAUGAUUAUUCAUCGAACGCUCUAUAAUCUUUGAUUGAUUGUGACUCUUUGACCCACCACUUCGCGUUAAAGCCCACAUCAUAAUGACCGGCUCGUCCCGCACACAAGCCCACCUUCUCAGUUCUCACUUACCGGUAUAUAAACCUCUCUCUAUUAUGUAAAUCUUACAUGAGCAAACAAAGUCAAUCGAAAUGAAACUAGUCAAACCUCAUUUCUGACUUCGGCAUAGAUUUUCACAUCAUCACCAUCGUCCAAAACACCCACUUUGGACCGCUACCGGACGGUCACGAUCAAAGAGGUUCAAACUUUCAUGUCUCCUGCCACCCACCAUUUCACAUCGACAUCGUUCAGUUUUCUCAGAGACUGCAGACUGAGACUAGCCAGCCAUAUAAUAAAAUAGAAAAAGCGACGAAGAAAAAGAAAACCAAACCCCUCCAUUAUUUCUUAUCGCACUUAACACCAUUCGCAAGCCAAAGAAGUGACGCGCACACCAAGUGAACAAGAACUGAUGAGCAAUAUUAAUACUAUGGAGGAGAGGCCAGAGACGGAGCUGAUAUCCAUUCCAGCGACGCCACGUGCGUCAACACCGGAGGUACUAACGCCGUCAGGUCAAAGGUCGCCGAGGCCAGCAUCAAAGGAGGCGAAAUCUUCAACGGCAUGGACUCCGACUUCGUUUAUAUCACCGAGGUUUUUGAGUCCUAUAGGGACGCCAAUGAAGAGGGUAUUGGUAAACAUGAAGGGUUAUUUGGAGGAGGUGGGCCACUUAACCAAGCUCAAUCCUCAAGACGCUUGGCUCCCCAUUACUGAAUCACGUAAUGGGAAUGCACACUACGCUGCGUUUCAUAACUUGAAUGCUGGUGUUGGGUUUCAAGCGCUGCUUUUGCCUGUGGCCUUUGCUUUUCUCGGCUGGUAUGUGUUGCCUCCAGUUUCUUUAAUUUUCUCUGCCUUUUUUUUAUUUUAAGCUUUUUUCCUUCUGUUUCUCCAAAACAAAUUGGUUUGCUUGUAGCAGUAAUUAUAGAGUCAUGCUCCCAUUUUAGAAAAAGGCACAGGUCGUCUGACUGAAGUAGCCAGCAUCACUGAAUAUGCAUUUAUGUCUCGUAGGUUUGCUUAGUUUGAUUCAAUUUAUCAAAUUUAAGUAUUUUCAGCUUUAAAUUUAUGAACUUCAGCCGUAGUUAUAUCCUAUGUACUUCUUUUUUUUUAAAAAAAAAAAAAACUCCUAUUUACGUCCUGUUCAUUUUAAAAUUUUCUACUGUUACGAGUUCGAUUUGGCAAAGGACGAAUGUUUUUGUCACAAUUGAUAUAAUUUUCCCCAAGUCUGCGGUAAUACUACGACUGUACAUACCUCGAUAUUCUCUGUCUUUCUUCCGAUGCCUCUGCCUUUACCUGCUAAUCAUCAUAUAAAGUUAGCAGCGUCCGGCUCUACUUAAAUCUUUUGUAUUUAAAAUUUAAUUAUAGUAUGAUUAAAAAGAAAGAAGCAUCCUUGAGGCAAGUCACUUCAAUACUUUAUCUUUUCUAACAGAAGUUUGCUCGAUUAUUAUAGACAUUUUUCCAGUCCAGUACUGGGGCAUAGGUGAUUUUGUUUUCUUUUUAGAGGAUCACGCCCGGGGGCCCAUUUUAAAUUAAUCUCAUUAUUACUCAUGAAUGAUAUCGACUUCUCAUGAUUUCAGAGCAUCCAGCGAAUCAAAAUUUCACAAAGCAUCAGACAAAUCAAACAUUGUUGCCUUUAACAGUGCACCUUUGGCAGUUGGCACAUCUUUUCUUCCUUGACUUUUAAUUUUUUUUUUCUUUAAUAACAUUAUUCACCAAAUGAAUUUGAUUAAAAGGAGUGAUGUACGUUUUUAAUUCAAAUACUUUCAUUGUAACUUUUCGGUCCUGCCAAAUUCCUAUGUUUUUUUGCCCAUUAGGCUUUUAGCAUGUAUGGUAAUAGUAAAUUUGACUGCAGAGGUAUUUUUAAGGAAAGAUGAUUUCAGGCUUUUCGAUCAUAUGAAAUUUGAAUAUUUACGUCUUUUGCAACCGAAAUUCAACCAGGAAUGUGGGGGAAUUAAGCAUUAUGAUUGAACUUUAUGCAUUCGGAAAUGGUAUCCUAGGUUGUUCAUUUGCGUUUGUGACUAUUCACCUCUAUAAUAAUUAUUUCCAACCAAGAGAAGAAACAACUAUUGUUGUGCUGAAGGGAAGAAAUAUUAUUUGUUUGAAAUGGUUUGCCAUUGGUGAUGGUUUUUGCAGGAGUUGGGGAAUACUUUCCUUAACAAUAGCCUAUUGUUGGCAACUCUACACUUUGUGGAUUUUGGUUCAGCUGCAUGAAGCUGUUCCAGGAAAGAGAUACAACAGAUAUGUGGAGCUUGCACAAGCCGCAUUUGGUAAGAACACAUGCUUAAGCUCAAAUUCUAAUACAUCUAUUGUUUGGAGAAUCGGUUCCAAUGCUUCCCCCCAGAAGAAAAAGAAAAAGAAAAAAAAUUCAAAUAAUUAAAUAAAUGAUACACAAAAGAUUAAUGUGGUUGUGCUAUGCUUUUCUUAUGAAUCUAGUAAUUUACAUUUUUUUCUUUUAGCAAGCUGCUUGUCUAAUCUUUUAAUACAACCAUGUUAGUAUCAUUUCACUGUGGAGGAUAAAAAUGAUGACUUAACAUUGAGGUAUUAAAUUUUUGUUCUUUGCAUGAAAUUUACUGGAAAAUAAUGAGUUGAAUGUUGUGUUUGCUACCUUUGCAGGGGAAAGACUUGGCGUCUGGCUUGCUCUCUUCCCAACAGUUUAUUUAUCUGCAGGAACUGCGACAACUUUGAUUCUCCUGGGAGGGGAGACAAUGAAAAUGUUCUUUCAGAUUGUUUGUGGGCCUCUUUGUAGCUCAAAUCCUCUAACAACGGUUGAGUGGUAUCUGGUGUUCACUUCUUUGUGCAUUGUUCUCUCUCAGCUUCCAAACCUCAACUCAAUUGCAGGGCUGUCACUGAUAGGAGCUAUAACAGCCGUCACUUACUCCACCAUGGUGUGGGUGCUCUCUGUUAGCCAACCAAGGCCGCCUAACAUCUCUUACGAACCACUUUCAUCCGCAUCCCCUGCAGCCACUGUCUUCUCUGUCAUGAAUGCACUUGGGAUUAUUGCUUUUGCGUUUAGAGGGCACAAUUUAGCUAUGGAAAUUCAGGUAUAUUUGCACUUUGUGAUUUUUGAACCACUUAGCAAAACAUGUUACAUUCGAAGGUAGUUAAUUUUAUUUUCUAAGGAACUUAUUUGCCUUUUUUCAGGCUACAAUGCCAUCAACCUUUAAGCAUCCUGCUCACGUGCCCAUGUGGAGAGGAGCCAAAGUUGCCUAUUUAUUCAUUGCCAUGUGCUUGUUCCCAGUUGCCAUUGGAGGUUUUUGGGCUUAUGGAAAUCUUGUAAGUACACUUAAUGCCAAGGCACAUAACAAGUUCACAAUAGGAAAGAAGAAAGAAUUACUUGACGUUCUUGCAUAUGUUGAGAAAUGUAGAAAGUCUCAAUUGCAAAGAAGCCCCCGAGUUAUCAAAUAGAAGAGCAAUACAUUUUAUCUUGCUAGUUGCUACUUUCAAAUAAAAUUUUUUAUGGUUAGGUUGGUAGAAUUUAUCCGAAAAUAUAUCAUAUCUCUCUCUCGAGAUAUUUCUUUUAAAUUAUGUACUACUCCAAAAUUAUUGUGAAUUGACACCUAUAAUGAGAUGCUACUUUUCUAAUAUCAAAAUGCUGUAAUACAAUAAUGGAUUUUAUGUAGAUAUCGUGAAUGAUGUAGUUGAUCGCCCUCGUCUGUUUAUGAUUCAGUUCAUUCUUAAUCUUUUUUUUGUUUUCUUGUUUUAGAUGCCUUCGGGAGGGAUGCUCCGUGCAUUGUUUCAAUUUCACAGCCACGAUAUAUCAAGAGGACUUCUUGCAGUGACUUUUCUCCUUGUUGUAUUCAACUGUUUAAGUAGCUUUCAAAUAUACUCAAUGCCUGUUUUCGACAGCUUUGAAGCAAGCUACACCAGCCGCACCAACCGACCGUGCUCAAUCUGGGUUCGAUCUGGUUUCCGGGUUUUCUAUGGAUUUGUCUCAUUCUUCAUAGGCGUGGCACUCCCUUUCCUCUCCAGCCUUGCCGGUCUCUUGGGAGGACUCACUCUUCCGGUCACUUUUGCUUACCCAUGCUUCAUGUGGGUGCUAAUAAAAAAGCCUACGAAAUACAGCUUCAACUGGUAUUUCAAUUGGAUCCUGGGUUGGUUGGGAGUCGCCUUUAGCUUGGCCUUCUCCAUUGGCGGUCUUUGGAGUAUAGUGAACAGUGGACUUAAGUUGAAAUUCUUCAAGCCCAGUUGACAAACAGUCAGUAGUACUAGCUAAAGGGAAUGUCGAAACUCUGUAAAAUCAAUGGAGAUUCAUUUCGUAUUUGUUGUUGUUUCGUACAAUUUUAAACUUCCAUGUAUGCACAUGUUACUUAUGGUGCAGGCAGCACCCGUUUCAUGUAAGUUUUAUUGUUCGAUUUUCUUCUCCUAAUCACUUUGAUUUAAAGUAGUGAAAAGAAAUACGGAACGUAUGGUCUGAAGAUUCUGAAGAUAUUGAGAGUGCACCUUAUAAAGAAUAGGCCCAAAUCCAGCUAACAACAUCUUAAUAGGCCCAAAUCCAGCUAACAACAUCUGAUUCUGAAGAUAUUGAGAGUGCACCUUAUAAAGAAUAGGCCCAAAUCCAGCUAACAACAUCUUUUUUUUUUUUUUAAAGUAAAUCUUAGUCUACGUUAAUUGAUUAGCUUUGCCAUUAGCGGUUUGCAGUUGCUUUCAGAUGAUUGCUGCUUUCCACCAUGGAACUGCACUGCGCGCAGGUUUUAGCUCUGUCAUCAUUCGAAAAGAUAAUCUCAAUGAAGCAAGCCAUCAAAAGUUAGGUAGCGAAUUUUGUUAGGCAUGCGGAUUUUGUAAGGCUUCAUUGUCACUUGUCACUGUCACAUUCUACAGAGCAGGCAAACAUAAUCAAAAUGGAAACAUGAAUCAUGAAUGCCGUUGCUGCAGUGAUUACAUUUGAAAAACAAAUUCUGUGUUCGGAGAAAAUGGGAUAGUUCGGGUGGUCAUCAUCUAAAGGGUUCUAUUGCAAUGAUUCAAGGUUUAAUUGACUCUCAGCAUCAAUAGGUUAGAAACAACCACCGACCAAAUGAUAAUGUUCCUCAUUUGUCCAUGGGGUUAAAACAUCACGGACCAUCAAUAAUUACUCAUUUCAUUGCCACUCCAGUGGCACCGAAACAGGUGUUUCCGUUUGAGGACGACAUCUCAUGCCGGCACAUGGACAUGGUUUCAAUUUAAUUGGAUUAGAAGGUGAAAUCCUGUUAAUGUAGAGCAACAUAUUGUGCGACCCACGAUCCAAUAAAAUCUUUUUCGCCCAGUGAAUGUGACAGCAGUCUUGAUUAUUCCAACUUUACCACGCCUCUUAGUAAACAAAUGAAAGAAACAAAAUUUAUCUGUCGGAUCGGAGAAAGAACAAAGAAGAAGCCAUUAACAACUAUUUUUUUAUUGAGCAUCGUUCACUACUAAACGAAUAAAAAAAACGUUUUGACUGCGUCUGUGGCUGUCAAUUUUUUUUAAUAAUUAUUUUUCUUUUUUUAUGGACAUCCAUUUUGUUACUUUUUAUAUGAAUACGUUUUUCAUAUCUACUCCAGUAUGGCAGUAUCACACAACUAUCAGACCCAUGAACCAACUUGGACGGUAAAUCAUUGUUCUAAUUAGGUAAUGGCCAAACAUGAAGGUGAGCCCGGCAGCCUUCCAAUAAUAUUUCUUAUUCUACAAGAUCGGAUUGGGUUGGAUUAACCCUUGGGAUUAGAUUAGGGAAAAAGUUCUUCUCAACUCUAAAAUUUCAUACAAUAAUCCAUUUUAUCCUUAUUUUUUAAAUAAUAACCCAAAACAUCCUUCCGUUAACUCACCGUUAAUUGAAUAUUGUUUGUUAGUAAUUCAUUAAGAGUAAAAAAAGAUUUUUCAUUAAAGAGAAAAUAAAAGUUGACAUAUAACUAAAAAUAAUUUUAUCUGAUCCAACUAAAUAGGAAAUACCGAAAAAGAUGAAAAACUUAUAUUUCAAGAAAUUCAUUUUUCAUUUCUUUCUAUUUUGGCGGCAUGAAAGUCCUAAAAACCCUAAAUAUUAGUACUAAAAAUAUCAUAAUUUUUUUAUUCAUAUAAGUAUACUCUCUAAUUGCACUGUAAAAUGGGUUGGUUGAGUUGAAGAUAAAGAGAUAUUCAGCACAUACAAGCACAUAAAAUUUAGUGGUAUUUUUGAGUUUUUAAUUACAGUUUGUUCAUUCUGACAAUUAUUCAAUAUGUAUAUCAAAUUAUAUCAUCGUUGAUUUCAUUUACAAAAAAGUUAAUGAAUUUUGCAUAUUUUGUAGUGUUAUUUAAUUGUGUAAUUUUUUUUAAUAUAGUUAGUAUUACUUUAAUGAAAAAUCUUAUUUUGCCCUCAAUAAAUUACUAGUUAACGGUUUUGCACUAAUGGUGAGUUAACAGAAGGAUAUUUUAGGCUAUUAUUUAAAAAGUAUGGAUGAAAUAAGCUAUUGCAUGAAAUCCUAUGGAUGAAAAAUGCUUUUUCCCAUUAGAUUAAAUUAUAUUAUAUUAGAUUAUCUAGUAUUGUCUUUUGUUUGGUAUAAUAUUGAAUAAGACUAUGUUAAGUUUAAUUUAAUAAAAUAUGGCACAUUGACUUGAUUCAACAGGAUGAUAAUUUGUUCUUUGAUAAAGGAUGGCCAGUAUUUCUGAGAGACAAUUUUAUAGAAUGUGGUGACCUUUUGGUUUUCAGAUAUGAUGGUGAGUUGCAUUUCACCGUGCAAAUAUUUGAUCAGAGUGGAUGUGAGAAGGAAGCUGCAUUUAAUUCGAAGUCCACCAGUACGGGACAAAAGAGAGAAAGAGAGGAGGCGGUUGCCCAUUCAGACAAAGCUCUUCAAAGUUUGUUGAAGAAAAUUAGAGAAUGCUCCUCUUCUUUUGAAUCGGAUUGUAUAGAUGAUAACCGGGACCGGGAAGCAGAUUCCUGUGAGGAAACAAGGAGGUGUCUCAGUCUAUCUACGAUCUUCGCAUCGCCUUCUCAACCGAAAACUUGCAACAUAAAGCCAGGUAACAAUUCCAACCUUGCGUUGAUUUUGAAGACAAUCUGUUUCUUGGUUGAACAAUUUCCUAGAUAUUGAGCAUUUCUGUUGCUUUUUACCCUUUUCUGAGUCCUCCGGUCGUUUGAAGAAACUGGAAAUAGAAUUAUAGAAAUUGGACUCAUGGACUGUGCUCGUUUCUGCAUAAUAUUCUAGUAUAUAAGCACGUCCACAAUGAAGUACUAAUUGUAAUCCAAAUUUUCUUCUUGUAAACAGGAGUUUUUAACAUCAAUAUCUUUAUUAAUCAAAAUUUCAGAAUUGUGAGAGAUUUCUUGUUUUUACAGUCUGCUGUACCGUACAUCCGCCUUGGCCGUACAGCAGGAAAAAGAUGAAAAACUUAUAUUUCAAGAAAUUCAUUUUUCAUUUCUUUCUAUUUUGGCGGCAUGAAAGUCCUAAAAACCCUAAAUAUUAGUACUAAAAAUAUCAUAAUUUUUUUAUUCAUAUAAGUAUACUCUCUAAUUGCACUGUAAAAUGGGUUGGUUGAGUUGAAGAUAAAGAGAUAUUCAGCACAUACAAGCACAUAAAAUUUAGUGGUAUUUUUGAGUUUUUAAUUACAGUUUGUUCAUUCUGACAAUUAUUCAAUAUGUAUAUCAAAUUAUAUCAUCGUUGAUUUCAUUUACAAAAAAGUUAAUGAAUUUUGCAUAUUUUGUAGUGUUAUUUAAUUGUGUAAUUUUUUUUAAUAUAGUUAGUAUUACUUUAAUGAAAAAUCUUAUUUUGCCCUCAAUAAAUUACUAGUUAACGGUUUUGCACUAAUGGUGAGUUAACAGAAGGAUAUUUUAGGCUAUUAUUUAAAAAGUAUGGAUGAAAUAAGCUAUUGCAUGAAAUCCUAUGGAUGAAAAAUGCUUUUUCCCAUUAGAUUAAAUUAUAUUAUAUUAGAUUAUCUAGUAUUGUCUUUUGUUUGGUAUAAUAUUGAAUAAGACUAUGUUAAGUUUAAUUUAAUAAAAUUAAAAUAAUUAUUUAAAUAAUAUAUUAUUUUUUAAAUCAUAUUACUAUUUGUUAAAUUUAAUGUUUAGAUUACAAUAUUAUUGUAAUUAAGUAAUCCAAUAAAUUUUUAUGUUUAAUAUAUUAUAUACUAGUUAAAAUAAAUUAUUGAAUAAACUUUUGAUAUUAAUAGCAAAUUUAGACUAUAGAAUAUCUAAUCCUAUCUAAACCCAUGUGAAAAUAGAUAUUAAUAAUCUUAUAAAUGUUGGACUAAAACUUAGAUUAAUUUAUUAAUCAUGACAGCCAAAUAUAACUCUAAAUUGGACUAAUUUUUUUAUCCUUCAAAAUAUAACUCUAAAUUGGACUAAUUUUUUUAUCCUUCAAAUUAGUGUAAUCCCACCUUUUAUACAACAUCCGAAAAUAGCCUCAUUAGUCAUAGGUCACACAGAUUAUAUGUUGGGUCAUGGGUGUGCAAGAUUUUACGUCUAAAUUAAAGAAUAUAUUUAUAUUCAGAAAAAAUCAUCCCACUUUCUCCAAAAAAGAGAAAAAAUCAUACCACCAGAAAAUAAUAAUAAUAAAAAAAAAUUGACCAUCAGAGCUUAAGAACAUUGAGGUCGGUGAGCUAGGAGGCGCACAAUUCAGCAAUUCCAUGCGCUUACUCAUCAAAGUCAAAGCGCAACUAAGAAAGUAAUGUUCAUUAAUUAAUUUUAUUUUGCAGAAAGCAGGUGUAGAUAUUUGGCUCCAUCUGCCUGCCCUUACUGAAGACAGCAUAGCCAGCCAAAAAAUCCAAGUUAACAAGUUGGUUGCACUUGCACACUUGGUGAUCAUCGAGUCUCUGCUCCCGCUGACAUUCUUAGAAAACUGGAAUUUCGAAUUCAUACGCAUUCACCAGACCAGAUUCUUCUACCGAAUUAAAAAUUACCUAAUCUAAAAAACUUUUUCUUUUUUCUUUUGUCCUGAAGAUAACAAUAAAAUGGAGAACUGUUCGGGUUAGCCCCUAAUGCAUGCCAUCUAAACAGCAAUCCACUUGAAAAAUCAAGAUCGAUGCAGAAAAACUCUCCUUUUAGUCUAAUUUGUUCUUCCACUGAUGCGAAGGAUUUACAAAACCAAACAUGCACGAACAAACAAACAAACCCUAAAACAGAGACACAACAACUGUGACUAUUGCAAUCCAAGUACUGAAUUUCUUUCUUCUAAUGUUUGUUAUAUGAUGAUCCUAUAAAUUCUCUGUACCUACCAAGCACUGGAUCCUACGACCACAAUCAUGAUAACACCACCAAUAACCGCUGGACCAAAAUCCAAAGAAAUUAAAAAGACAAAAAGGCUUCUCCUUUCCUCCCAUUGAAAUUUGAUAAAGCAAGCAAACACCCCUUUUUUUUUUAAUUUUUAACUUGGAACUUUUCUUACUUCAAGUCCUUCCCAGCUGGCGUGGAAAUGGCAAGACCAGACCAACCAAAGCAAUCUUCACCAACGUCAUUACCACCUUGAUCAUCGCCGUUCAUCAUCUGCCACGUGUUGCAUCCAGAAGCAGCAGCACCACUCCCACCGCCAGUGCAAGCGUAACCGGCUCCAGGGAUAUCCCAACUCCGUGCAGUACCAAAACCAAGCUCCAAUUCUUCAAGACCCGACCCGAUACCAUACCCAUGAUUGUGAAACCCACCAAGUCCAAGAAAAUUCUGGCCUUGAAUUUGCAUAUUCAACAUAGUAGUGUAGCUUCCACUACCGGGGACGCCGACACUAUCGUUCAGGUUCACAUCAGUCAUCGUAAUUAAGCCCAUUUCAGGGUUACCACAAGGCAAAACCGAAACAGGGUUAGCGGGUUCGGCCACACGAUCAUGGAUAACAGCUGAGGAACAAGAUGAAGAAUUGGUGGUGGCAACAACAGCGCCAGAAGAAGACGAAGAGCUAAUGCGGGUGCGCUUGGAGUUCUUGCGAGUGCCACCACCAACGGGGAUGUUGCGGAGAGUCCCACCUUGAGUCCAGUAGCGGCGGCACGACUUGCAGAAGUGACGAGGCUGAGAGAGGUUGUAGUUGUUGUAGUAGCAGAAUUUGGUGCUCGUUGAUUCGCACCUUGGGCACGGCAGUGACUCGGUUACCUUUGGGGGUGGGUAUGUGCUUAUGGGGUUAUGGGCUCGAGCUAGUUUCCGGUCAGUUGAUUCCGAUGGCAUUUUGCGGGGUGUUUUUGAACAAACGAACGUAUAAAUAAUUAAUGUUUAAUUUUGGAAGAAAGUGGUGUGAAUGAGAGUGAAAAGCUUUUUCAGUCUCAAUAGCUUAGCAGAGCUAUAGCUAUAGCGUAUGAGUGAAGACAUACAUAAGUAACUCACUAUAUAAGAGAUAAAAUGGGGCCACGCCAACAACAACUCACAACAAUCCUCGCGGUGAAGAAGGGUUUCUGUACGACGUUUUGUAUUGGCUCGGCUGCGUGGCUAGGCGGCUUGUUUUUUUUUUUUUUUUCCAAAAAAAUUAUAAUUAAUUGUUUUGGUGAUGUGGCCCCGUUUUGUUUAACAGGCAAUUAACUGUGUCGUAUAAUAAAUAAAAGAAAAUUAUAAUUUAUAUACCUUUAGUUUAUUCCAUUAUUAAAAAUAUUACAACAUUUUAAAGGUAUAUUAAUUAUUCACCUUAAAUUGAUAAAAUAUAUCAAUUGACAACCAAACCGUUAGUUGCUGUUUAAGUACGAUGACGUUAGAAGAGUAAUUUAAUCUUUUCAUAUGAUGCAAGUGAUAAUUUAAUGAUAUACAAGUGAUAAAAAGAGAAUCUAAGGAUAUACAAGUGAUAAAAAGAGAAUCUAAGGAUAUACAAGUGAUAAAAAGAGAAUCUAAGGAUAUACAAGUGAUAAAAAGAGAAUCUAAGGAUAUACAAGUGAUAAAAAGAGAAUCUAAGGAUAUACAAGUGAUAAAAAGAGAAUCUAAGGAUAUACAAGUGAUAAAAAGAGAAUCUAAGGAUAUACAAGUGAUAAAAAGAGAAUCUAAGGAUAUACAAGUGAUAAAAAGAGAAUCUAAGGAUAUACAAGUGAUAAAAAGAGAAUCUAAGGAUAUACAAGUGAUAAAAAGAGAAUCUAAGGAUAUACAAGUGAUAAAAAGAGAAUCUAAGGAUAUACAAGUGAUAAAAAGAGAAUCUAAGGGUAUACAAAUGAUAAUUUUUAAGGGUAAAAUUAUCAAUUUACUGUAAUUCCGUUAACUUUCAAACGACAACUAACGGUUUGGUGGUCGACUGAUAUAUUUUGUCAAUUAAUGGUGAACGAUUGAUACACCCUUAAAAUAUUGUAGUAUUUUUAAUAACAAAGUAAAUAUAAAAUAUAUGAAUGAUAAUUUCCCAUAAAUAAAUAAUAUUAUGGUAUGUGAGUAUUUAUUAAAAAUUAUAAUAAAAAUAAUAGAUAUAUCAAAUGUAUUUAUACACUCCGUACUAGUAUUUUAAAAUUUCUCUUGUGUAAAUGUACAAAUCUAACCGGUUGCAGAAGCCAAUUGCUAGUUGCUUCAACAAAGAGUCCUUAAGCAGAGUCUUUAAUAUGCAUACAUACGAAUCAGUAUGUAUGUAAUUUGACUGACAACUAAGAUGAAAGUUAAAGGCUAUAUUAGCUGGGGAUGGAUGAGAUUAAGUCGAGGGCUGGUCAUCAGAUUCAGCCUUUUCUUCUAGAGCUGGCUCAACUCAACCGUCGGAGGUGGGGGAGAGAGAGAGAGAGAGAGAGAGAGUGCGUGAAAUGAAAUUAGGAUUGAAGAGAACCGACAGCAUGAUUGUUGUCGGGCAGCGUGGGAAACAAUAAUUGGGUUUGCCUGCUGCGUUACGAGGCUCAAUGGCUUCCCUACUCCUCUACUCCUUGGCCCUUGCAUAUCAAAGAUUCUCUCAUCAUCUGUCACCGGAUUUUUCGGUUCUGUAAUCUCUGCUCCUCCCUUUGAUUUUGCUCCUCUCUUUUGUCCCCUCUACAUAUGUACGACGUGUAUAUCCAUCCCCUUGUUGUGUUAUUAUUAUAUUUGCCACGAAGAAAACGUUCUCCAAUAGUAUUCAUACAUUAUUUAUACUGGCAACUAAGAAAACGUUCUCAAAUAGUAUUCAUCCGAUUUGAUUUACACAUAAAAAUAACUGUAGCCUUGCACAACGGAACUUCGUACUGAGAGGGAGGGAAUCGAGCAGCUGGCUUCGCCAUGCACUUGUCUUACUCCAAGGAACUGAACAGACGUAGGCGCAGACUCUGGCGCUGUGCUAGCUACGGCGAGAACUUGGACUACUGCUGACAGACAAGACUCGUUUCUGGAAAAUGUGACAACGCGGAACACACGUGUCCAUCACUAAUAGGUUAUUGCCUUAACCAUCCAAGCAGCGGCUCCAGUCCAGCCCACGGUAAGAAUCAGCCCAAGUCAAGAGAGAGAUACACUCACAGGGUCCGAGAUUCUGAUUCUCUCUUCCCUGUCUGCAUCUGUUUCAGGUUUUGACGGUCUUCGUGAGGCUGACUAUAAUCAGAGGGAAAAACCCCCAACCACACACGCCACCCCCCCCCN
rnacentral:lncRNA from 1 species